CUAGAUUCUUUCCUUACCGCAGCUUUUCGCACUCUCCUUUCUGAACCGACAACGAAUGAAACUAGAGCAACCAUCCAAAUAAUGAAUUGACAGCACAGCGCGUAAUAAGUUUUCUGUCUUCUCACUCUUUCGAGCGCCGAAUCAAAGAUCAAUCACACCUAGCUUUAAAGCCAGUACUGUCUUUCUACCCUUAACUACAAGGAAGCCAAAUAGCUGGACUUGCCCUGAUCCCAAUCGCUGUUGCUUGAAAUUGUGUUCUUUGUUAUUCCGGGUGUCGACUGCCUGAUCGAAAGGGAAAGGGUGAACUCGUUAAUGAAAAAGGUGAUAUCACGUAAGGGAGAGUUGUGAGCAAAUGAUCUUAGUAUUACUCUCAGGUUCAAGGGUCUAUGUUAUAAAGAAGAAAUGCACUAUAACAGCUUUUUUUGUCUUAAAUGAUCAAGAUUACAUAAGAUUAGUGAAACAGGCGUUAAAGGACGAGAAAUCAUGGUUUACGGCCCCUUCCCCUUACUUGCCCGAGCUCACUAAAGCACUCUUAAACUCAAUCAAUAAGUAACCUUGCAACAAUAAAACAAAGACAUCUUUCCUACGUUGCUUUUUCUCUAUCACUUGCUUGUUCGAAAGCCCUGACCCGUUGUUAGUUUCGAAGCUAUGCUAUAGUUGGUGACUUUAUUCGUUUCGAAGCUAUGCUAUAGUCGGUUACUUUAUUCUAUGUUAGUUCAAUUCCAUUCUGUAUUCUUGUUCAGUGUCAGUUCAAUCUCAUUCUGUGCGUUAGGGAGGUGGUGCUAAGGAAAGUUAUUGUUUCAUUUGUUCCAUCGAGUGUUUCAGUUGAAGUGGAAGGAGAGGCCUCUAUAGUCUGUUUUGGCAAAAGAACAAACAAGCUUAGGCACUAAGAGAGGAGUUCGGGUCGGUGCUUGUGCUGCGGUAUAGAGAGGUGAUUUUCUUGUGGUAAGUGAAUGGCCUGAUUGUCGUCCUUUGUCUGUUAAGGGAGUGAGGGUAGCCCGCGGUAUCAAGGAACAGUAGAAUAAACUACGGAGGUUUAGUAGAAAGUUCGGAUUGCGCAAAGAAAGCUUUACUGCUCUCGCAACCAUUAACAAGAAGUCUGGGCCAUUGUAAAAGUCACCCCUAUCUUCUUCUUCUGCCAAUACGGAAUUUCUUAUGAAUCCAUCUCGCAAGAGCAUCUAAGAUUUUCAUUGAAUCCAUCUCUUGUCUUGCUUAGCUGUUUGUUGAUCAGUGAAGAAUAAGAAGUUUCUGAUUUGCGAACUGACUUAUGCACAGCUGAUUCUUGAGUAGACUUUCCUGUCAUUGCUGCUGGACUUGAGACCCUUUUUCUGGUUCUCUAAAGAAUAGCGAGUUGCUUGUUCACUGCUUGUUCCUACGUUAGUAUAUUCCUUCGCUUUUUUCGUUGUUUGUUCCGUUGAGAAACCAUUGACUUGCAACUGGAUUGGAUACUUUUGCAAUAUAGUAGGGGAGCAGCGAGAUACUUGCCUUCUUUCUAAUAUAGUAGUGGAGCAGCGAUAUACUUUACUUCGAGCAGAAAGAAUGGAUUCUGCCUCACCCAAACUCGACUUUCUGUUCUGAUCUUACAUCGGAUCUUGAAACUGUUUAUGCGUAUGCUGCUGAUUGGACUUUCUACUAAUUGAUUCUCUCUAAGACAAACAAACGGAUUCAACCAACGGAUUAAACCAACGGAAGGAGACUCGUAUAUUGACCUAUGCUCUGACCCUACUUGCUAACACAAACAACAUUCCUAUGCUUAUAGGCGAUAUGCUAAAGGAAUCUACUCUACAUAGAAUACAAGGAAGGAAUAUUACCCCAGCUUUAUAUACUAAACUACUAAACUAGGCAAUAUAACAAACACGCUUCAGAAUAAAUGGAAUCCUUCUUAUCGAGCGGAGAGAAGCAUCAGAUCUUUUCUCUCUGAUAACUCGAACUCCCCUUGAGGACCCACUUGUGCUGCUUACUUUCUCUACGACUUUAGAAGUUAUUAAUUCCAUUUCUGAGCUCUGUUAGCUAGUUCGGUUCAAGUUGCGAUUCCAUUCAACACGUGUUGGGCUGUAGUGAGUUGAUCUAGCGUUAGGUUAGUUCCAGAUGUUACAAGCAAUGCAGGGGAAGAAACAAGGUAAGGGUGCCCAUAUCUUCAACAAGCAAGAGUAAGACGGUAAAGGUUCAGUGAAUGGAAUGUGAUCUUCUCUUUAUAGGCUACAAAAAUGUGCAUAAUCAGGGCCAGUAGCAGAGAAUCCUAUUAGAUAUGCGCAUUAGAGAGAUGAUUUGAAUGCUAACGGAGCUCACACCUUUCUUUUUGGAAUUCCAUUCUUACUUGAGAGCACUUGGUAUAGAAAAGACAGUAAAGACACCGCAUCGCAUCCCUUUCUUUUGAAUCUACUCCUGGUUCAGCUUCAGUACUUAUGGGUGAAGCUUCUGGUACUCUACACCUUGCUUCAAAGCCAGAUUCUUACGAAAGAACGUCACUUUCUUGAUAUGGUGCUUCCUCACCAGAGACAUAUCCUGCUGUAAACCCUGAUUGAGAAUGCUUUCCUUGUGCAGCGAGUAGACUUUUCUCAAUCACCUCUCUCAACGGAACUUGAGUAUUCAUGGCGAACUGGAGCUUCAAAGCCAGUACCUGCUCAGCUGACUUACUUGAGACUGACUGUUGAUUCUCUUGGGCGGGGCACUUGGAGCUUUAUAAGGACAUUCCCCACUGCACCUUGCUUAAGAGCCCAUCAUAUUCUUCCCCCAACUCGACUAGAAUUGAAGUUCAUAUGCGCUUGAGCUUGCAGGUGCUGUUGUUUGUUAAGAAGUCAACCACUCAUUGAGGCUUACCCAGCAUAAUAUAAACCAAACGCACGUGUAGCGGUACCCUAACUCCCUGCUCAGCGGCAGAGGCACCAACUAUCCCUAUUGAAAAGAAUGGAAUUGUGUAAAGAACUGUAUGAUAUAAGAAAGAGUCAAAGAACAGCGAAACUCCAAAGCAAAGCUCACUGCUCACUCCAAUAACUUGAAGAAGAACAGAAACUCACUCCCCAGCCUCUAGCGUCGGCAAACUAUCUAACACACAAGAAGCUAACGCGCCUGCAUCCUAAUCUGCACUUCUUUACUUAUUGCUUCAAAAAGCCUCCAACUAAGUCCUUUGCCCUUAAGUAAUUGGUAGCGGCAGCCAAGUCCUUUUAGAGUCCUACGAGUUAUGAGUCCUGUGCCCUUAAGUAAUUGGGUGUAUUACCCAUUUUCUGCAUUAGUAGAAGACUGAGAAUUGAACAAGCCUUUUCCUGUUACUGAGGGUAUGACCCAUUUUCAGCAUACUCCCUAAUUGACUACCCCAGGUCAAUUGUGCUAGUAAAGGAGUGAAAUAAAGUAGAAGAAAGAGAAUCACCAGUUCCUAGGUGUACUCAAUGAAACAAGCAAGGCAAGGUAGCACUCCAAUCUACGAGCUACUGCAAAUAGCAUAGCACUCCUUUGCUUUUGAAUCGAAAUAGUAAGUCUAAGCACCCGAACAAAACUCAACGAAACUUAUCGCUUAAGAUCCGCCAAACUCACUCACUAACGUACAAGUAUGAGUAAGCGUCCUGAACAACAAUAAGCUUAGCGCAACGCCUUGCUGAUUGUGAGUCUCAUGCACCCAAAAUUCUAUAAGAGCAUAACUUGGCUAUAAGAGCAUAACUUGGAGACCCAAUAAUAGACUAUUUUGCUUUACGAGGUUCUUUCCUUCUUUCUGGUGUUCCUUGAGACUCAACCUACGCAGGAACAAGUCAUCAAGUGAAAGGACUGGGAACAAGCAACUACUUAGAAAGUGACCUAUUCUUCGCUAUUAGUGAUACUAUUAGUUAUACUAUAUUCUGGAAUUACCUACUAUGCAACUAAACUCGCAUUGCCAAGUCCUGUGUUCAUAGCCGUAGUAAACAAAUUCCAUCAUUCUUUAUAUUGCUCUUGUCGUCUUGGCUGUUGGCUCGGUGCUAAUGGAAGUUUACAAUUAAGUCUACGAUGGAAGUUUCGUUGGGCUUUUCUCUAUCCUAUUAAGAAUCAGAGGUGUUGCAGUUCAGUUGCUUGGCAGGAGUUAGUUCGGCAAGUAAUAGGUAUAUCAGCAGAGUUAGCAUCAGUGUAAUCUUGUCUAGUAUAUGCUUGGUUGACGACAGUUUAUCCACUACAAACAAGAGAAAGCUUUCAAAUAGGCCAUUCUAUUUUCAAAGUCAAGAUGAUAGGCGUAAAGCUGUUAGUUACGAAGCGGGAAUAUCCGUUUUCUCAGAAGCGGGAAGUGGUGUUUCAAAGGGGAGUUCGACUCAAAUCCAACAAGCAGACUAGAAAGAAUGCAAUGACAACUGGAAUGGAUAGAAUUGAACCAGUACUAGUUAAGAUCGAAUCACUGUUGACAAGAACGGAACAGACAAAAGAAAGACUAAAAGUACCCAUCCACAGAGUAGAAUUAUGGUAGCGAGGCUUUACUACUAUUUAGAAGAAUGAGUUGAUGCAUCAGUGAACUAAACUAGAAACUAUAGUACCCGACCCACACCUAAAUUAUGAAAAACCCCAAGCCCCGACUUGUAGCUCAAGCACCGACUUAUAGCUAUAGUACCUCACUCCUAUUAUGAUUUAUUUGAAACGGAUCUAGUCUAUGAGUUAGAGUAUCCCUUUCCCUACUUAGACUCUUUAACUGCUGAACAUGGAUCUGACUCCCCGCUCUCAACACCUUACUAGUUACUGGCAUCCUCGCUUCUUGGCUUGUAAGUCUACUUCUACUUUCUGCAAAUCUUAUAUUCCUAUCUUUUUCUAUUUUUCUUGUUUUUACUUACUUCUAUUCUGUUAUUUGUUAUUUCCUAACUAUACCUUGAACAUUGGAUGAAACUAGAGCACCCAACUAUUAACUAUAGCACCGAACUAUUACUUGCAUUAUUACUGAUUCUAGAAAACAUAUAUCUUGACUCUAACCUGGCAUACACGCCUUAGCCCUCUAGAAAACCUAGUGAUAUUGAACUCAAUUCUGAACAUUCAUAUAUAAUAAACACGGAUUUGGAUCCUGACUUGAAAACGGAAACAGGAACAGCGGAUUCUUCCACGAAUACUUAGAGGAAACAGAGGAAACCCAUACUCAACAACGGAGCAACUUGAUCCAGCGUGAAGUGAGAAACAUCUAGUUGUUUACUUAAUGUCAUUGUGAGAUCAGUAGUGCAUCGAUCGCAGACGAAGGCACGGGCGCAACAGUAGAGCUGUGUAGGGAAACUCGUUCUGAAAGUGGUGUCGCGCAUUCCACCACCCAUUGGCGAAACAACGGGCGACCCGGGCUAUUAUAGCUCAUUCAUAGCAUCGGGCGACUGAACCACACCGGCACAAACAUCAUAGAUAAAAGAAAGAAUAACAAAAGCAGUUUUGUGCUAAAAAAGAGAGAAAAGAAGAGCUGUUUUUCGACUAAAAGAGUGUAGUGGUAGCGAGUUCAUCAGCACAGCACUAGUUGCCUAUGUAGUUGCUAAGGUUCACUUGGCCUGUUCCACUAAAGGGAUAAGAGAGAUUGAUUCAUUUACUGUUUUCCUCUGCGCUAACGGGAGCAGCAAGUGUAGUUCCUGUGUUACCGACGAAAGAAAAGAAAGAUUCUCAGAAGGAGUAUGAGCUGGAUCAUCAGCAGGAGUAGAUAAAUAGUCAAGAAAGUGAGUAGCAGAAUGUCCAAUUCCUGUUAGUUAUGUUGCUUAUUCGUUUCGCAUACUUGUUUCUCUGGCUUGUUCCUUCACUCUCCUUUCUUGGCACUUAACUCAUUAGUGAAACUCAUUAGUGAAGUUGUCAAUUCCAUUAUUUUAGUCAGAAACUCCAUUCUACCAGUCCUUUCACCUGGCCUACCAGUCCUUGAGCUUAACCCUGCCCCCUUAUAGUCAAGAAUUUCAUUGAACCUAUGGAGCACCCGGCUGAUGCUCUUUAUUAUGAUGGAUCUUCCGCUUGGGCCUCCGAUUCCUUACCCGCUCUUGAAACAACUUCUUUAUAAGAUGAUGAAACUGGGUAAGGGACUGCCGCGUAACUGACGUAGUUACUUGGCCGGGUCGGUAUUCCACUCAUUCUACUAGUCGUUGCUUGGCCCUUUGUAGCAGUAGCUUGGCCCUCUUUUCUUCUUCUUUAUUUGCCUCUAUUUUCUUACCAUAGAUGACAUAAAACUCUUUGUGGCUUACUUGGAACUCAAUUCUAUUAUAGAUAGACAGCAGCCGCCCACUACCCUUAUUUCUUCUCUUCUGAUUCCUACCCUUAUUUCUUCUCUUCUGAUUCUCUAUUCUCUGACUUGAUUCUUAUUGGAUUUUCUAUUCUCUGAUAAGUGCUUCCUGUAUCCGCUGGUAAGGAGCAGCUUUCCUAGAAAGAGUCCCGAAGUGCUUAUUCCUGGAAACGUCUAGCCGUUUAUCUAUGUAGUAAAGAAUACUUUUGGAUUUCAUAUCAAAUAGUCUCUUAGAAAACCAACUCCCUUUCCACUCUCUGAACUUUGACUUGCCAUGUCCUUCCUUAUAAUAGAACUGUCCUCUUUUCUUGGGGAAGUGCUGUAUCUGCCAGAAAGCUGCCAUCUUGUCUGAUGUCCUCUUGUUCUUUUCCAAGGAUUGCUUCGAAGGUGGGAGCCGGCUACUGGAUCUUUUAGUGUAGUUAGUAGUCGCCCUUCCCUCGAUUCAUAGACCAUGUCACCCAACUCCAAUUAUCCAAGAAGUGAUUUCGGUUAAAACGCCAUGCGACUUUGAGUAUAUAUGGAUCUUAUUUGAUUCGAAUGGAAAGACGGAGACCAAACCAAAACUCGUAAUAGAACCGGGAGCUUGAAUAAGAGCUCCUCAUAGUGGUAAGAACCUUUUACUAGGAUUGAUUCGGAUCCCGAGGGGCCUCUACAGGCGAAAGCAAAUAGUGAAGUAUAACCUGAUGCUCCGAUCGAAAACGAAUCCGUGGGGCCAUGCCGGGACGACGUCUGGGAUAUUAGUCUUUUGCCUCUUUCUCUUUCUGUCUCUGUUUCUGGUUGGAUUGAUGAGAAAAUAGAAUCCUGGGCCAACUCGAUCCCGAGGAAUGUUACCCUUUGAGCGGGUUCUUUCUGCUGAUCUUUCCUCCGUCGAUAAAAGAUCUUCUGAUAAGACUGACCCCGCAAACUUGUAAUUGAACCACUGAUCUCACAUCUGUAUUUGCUAUCACAUCUGUAUUUGCCCCCGGCACUACUGUUUUGAAUUGGACCCUUGCUCGCCUGUUAAAGAAACCAACUACUGCGGAUGAGACUGCUACAAUUACCUAUUGGUCUAUACCCUGGCUUACUGAAAUUCCUAAACUAUUGACUUGCAACCUAGCUUCUUAGCUGAGUGCGCUAACAUUCCUUUAUCUUAGCCCCAACCAAAAGGGAGUCUGGUAUAAGUAUGAGUUUUCAACGGGAGAGCUCCAAACAAGGAUCGGUAGACUUCACCUAGCAAGCGAGGAUCUUGUUAAAGUCCCUAUUCCGAGUCCAAUUAAGAUUAGGUUCUGUGCUCUUGUUUCAGCAUUGUCAGCAUAGGUGUAUUCUCUAUCCUCUAUUAGUGUUGUUAGUGGAAUACCGGUAGUACUAGCUUACUUCUAGUAGUUGUAGCCAGAGGUAUAGUAGCAAGAGUUAUAUGAGCCAGAGUCGAGGGAGAUAAGAAAGCAGCUUGUUUAGAUGAGCCAUAGGUAUAGGAUUUCAGAGUUUAGGGAUGUAGGAAGAGAGGUAUACCUCAUGAAGUUACUAGUUGCCAGCUGCUUGGCUUGUGGAAUUCCUAUACAAAGAAAGAAACUACUAGCUUGCCCUGUUCGUCAACUCCAAAGUGAGAAUGAAACCAGUGAGUCAAAGAAUGAAGCGAAGCAAGGAGGAAUUAGAUCCAGCAGUUCAAGAUGUUAGGAAGAAAUGACUUAUAAGGACAGUUUCUUAGGUUUAAUGGGAAAUCCAAUUCAAAACGGGGCACAGAUGAGCGGCCCUUAAGUUCCUAUAGCUCACGCGCCUAACUAGGCUUGGUCAUUAGUAGUUGCUUGGCCAUUUGUACUACAGGGCACAGGAAUACUUGUUUAGUCGUAGCUUGGCGGGAGUCCACGGAAACAGCUUCCUUACCUGCGCCAACUCAGGAUCUAGAUCUUUUCCACUCACUCGCUUCCCGCUUCUAAGCCCUUACGUGCACAGCCUCUGAUCCUUAUCCUUACUUUUCAUCAUCUACUAUUGGCUCUUCAUCACUUCUUAUUGCUGGCUCUUAAGCUCUUCUUAUUGCUGGCUCUUAAGCUCUUCUUAUUGCUUACCUUGGACAUAUCGUAUCGUCCGAAUUCUUUCAAUCCUACCCGGACAAGGAAGGAAUAAAGGCAAGGAGCUGAGAGCCUUUCAUGAAAAACAAGACCUUACCAGCUUGACCUAAUAGAGCGGGCAACUCGCUAGCUUCUUUUCUUGCGGAAUUUCUUAGUAACUGAAUUCGAAAGUGCAUCUCUGAAUCUUCCUAGCAUACCAAAAUGAACCGAAAGGAAAUCCGCUAUUGAACAACAUAUUCCGGCCGGCCCUCGUAGCUCUCUCUUUCUCUGUAGCAAUAUGGAUUAUGCCCUUCGUCUCAUAUAUUCUUUUUUAUGAAUAGAAGGAGAUUGUGAAUCAGUUGAAUUAGGUUUCGUAAAGUCAAGAUUGACCUUCUUUUUGAUACAGAAGAAGCUGUGAUCACUAUACUACAUUCUGGUUCUAGACCAAUAGAAUCAAAGAAACUGCUCUUUUUCACGCUACUUCGCAGCUAAUUCAUUCAUCCACAUCUGUAUCGCCUGCGAAUCCUUUUUCCAGCAAAGAGAAACACUUCUAGGCAUCAAUGCUAUAACUCCUGGCAAGAUCCGAGACGAUUCCAUUGACUUCAUUCUAACAGACUAUUUUGGGCAUAUCGCUCUACUGGACUUCUUCUUCCUAAGAUCAGUAGGCUUUACAAGGAUGCUCGUUUUUCUACAUGGGAGUACAUCCAAUAGGAAGCUUACACACACAUAGACUAGCCACACAACUAAACACAACAUUACAAAGUGAACUAACAACAUCUUAAGUUAACAAAAGACAUAGAACAUCAUGAAACAUAAGAAAGAAAAGCCAUGCAUUAAAACACACUACUUUGCUAAGACGGAAUACUUAUGGAAAUCUUAUGGAAAGAGUCGACGGACUGACUCUUCUAGUCUCCCUAGUGGAUCGGUGACCUAGGGUGACAGCCCGCACAAUGAGCGCUUGCUGUUCUGUAUUUGGUUUUGUAGAGAUAAAGCGCAUAUAAUCUUAUAUGAGAAUUCUCUCUAUAGCUGGGAAAUGUUCCCAGACCCAGCCUUUGCUCGCAUUUGAGCUUAUCGUUUUAUACCUUACUGAUUGAUUGCUCAAGGCUUUCCCGUCAGUUCGAGAUAUCCAUGUCUACUCAGACCCUAACUCUUGCUUUCCUCGCCUGAAGUCUUUAUCUCACCCUAACUCUUGCUUUCCUCGCCUGAAGUCUUUAUAUCUUUGCCUUGAGUCUACCGCGGCUAACUCGAAUACUGUUACAGCUGUCAGUAAGUCUGCCACUGCUGUCCCUAUUUCUUUAGCUACUGCCAAUAAUCAAAGAACUACUCAUUUUCAUGCUUUAUCCUAUGAUAGGGAAUCGAGCUGAGUAGACCAAGGCGGAAUAAGCCCACAAAGCUACUUAGGGUAAUCCAACUAAAUAUGUAUUUCCACCUAUUAUUUUCUAUGACUUGCUUUGAGUCUACCGAUACUAACCAGCAACCCUUACUGGCCUAUAAGCCCGCCCUUGCUUGAAACCUAUGCCCACCGAUCCUAAUUCCUAUUCUCUUGUGUUAGCCCGCUACUCCUUGAUCGAAAUCUGAUUUGACUGACCUUAAAGCUGUCUUUACUUCUUUUCAUUAUGAAAUUAGGUAGUUAGUGUUCUUCUAAGAAUGCAACCAUAAUGCAACCAUUAAUGAACUUCUCUUAUAUUAACAGUCGUUUUUCGAGUCUCCUUACUUCAUUUCAGUCGUUUUCAUAGUCUCCUUACUUAUUUAGUAGAAUACCUCAAUAUUGCACUACAGAAUUGACACCACAGCCAACAAUAUGGAACUAGUACCGGGAAGAAUCUAACCCGGGGCUAAGAGACUUUAACAACUACCUAGAAGACUUGACACAGCUUACUGGGAAUUCACUAUAACCUGAGAAUACUUUUACUUGGAAACUUUGAACUCGGGCUGAAACACUGACAUAUAGGAUCAUACUUGCAUCCCGUCUUCUAGCCUUACAUUACUUAUCUCGUUCUUUAACAGCUUACCUGGCAUUUCCGAUCUCAAAACUCCUUAGCUCUUGGUUGAGUAUGCCAAUCCCGGAAUUCUGAAACUAGUAAUAGCAAGACCUAUACAGCUACUUAUCAUAUAGAUACUCAAAACAAAGAAACCAACUACCACUUGAAAACUAGAAACUUGGAAUACGAACACCGGGGCAGCUAGCCUUAUUUGACUAUCCUCUGAGCCUUGCCUUAUUGUAUAUAAGAGUAGAGCUGGGGCUAAAAAGACCUUCCCUAACUGCGGAAUAGGAAGAACACCAAUACUACUAAGAAUAGAAUCUGGUCCCUUAGCUCGUUGUUGGCAUGCAAGAACCGAACCCAUGCAAAUAAUAAUUGAAACCCGUGCUCAUAAUAAUGGAAAUAGGAACAAGGACAAAAGGGAUACAAGCGCUGAUAACAAGGCUUUUUCACUAUUUCAAAGAGUGUAGCGGUAUUCCAAUAAACUAACCAUCUUGACUACCCCUACGCGCUUUAAGUCUCCUAUUACCUCCUUCUUCCCUGGCUAUUGGUAUUACUGCCCUAACUUCCUGUUUGGUAUUUGUCCCUGGCAGCCUUGCUUUUGGCCUGUAACUAACUUAUACCAUUAGUAAACUACAUUACUUUAAGUCUAUAACUAACUAACUCAACCGUAACUACUACUUACUAGGACCGAUUGCUAGCCUAUCUUUGCUUUCUCCUAAACUUAUACUGCUAUCGAUAAGAAUUUGAACUAGCGCACUAAGAGUGGAGAGAGACGCGCCCAAACAUAUAAGCAUUGAUUGAGACAACAGGUGAUCUAACUAUUACUACUAGCGGAAUGAAACAAAGAGGUAAGAUUGACUACCUACCUUAUAAGACUUAACUGCGCGUGUGAGGUCCGGAACUCCACUCCAUUCUACUAUAGAACCAACGUUAGCCGAAAACCGCAAGCAUUAUAUAGCAUCAACAGCUUUCAGGAACGAGCUCCUUUACCACACUCAGUAGACUCGGGAUCAUGUUGGGCACCUUCUCGGAUGUCGCCCUUGGAACUUACAGAACCAAGAUUUCUCAAUUCUAUCAAUACCAUCAACAAGCAAGUGAUAGAGAGAUGAGUCAGGAAGCUAUGCUCUGUAACAUUCAAUACCAUAAAAAAGCAAGUGCAAGAUAGAUGAGUUUAGAAGCCAAAGGGAAGCAGUGUGUUUCCUUUCUUAUAUGAGUGAGAUGCCCAUUAGUCCAAAAUCCAUUACUGAGUAUGGGGGGCGCUAACAUAGUUUUACGGAAGGGAUACAGUGCAGAGUAUAGAACAAGUCAUUAUGGAAUCUUAGGAGUAACUCGUUAAUGGGAGCUCUGCGCUCGCAAGUCCUGUUGCUUGUGUCCAAGGGUUUUCUAUCAACCAGUUUAGCCUUAGCGAGUUUAGCAUAAUAUAAGUCAGAGAAAUUCAUUAUUGGAAGUAUUUGUAGCUUCAGCGUUAGCGUUAAGUAUUUCCAGUUUUCAGUGAGUUUACAACCGAGUCUAGUAUCCUUGGCAAAGAUGCAUCUAAAGGACAUAGGCAUUAGGCACCCGCCCCGAACUCUAUUACAAGGGAAAGGAAAGGCAGACAAGCAACUACGAAUUGAGUAAAGACACAGUCGUUCUUUUUCCUCAGUUAGGUCUUCCCCUUGUUUCUAUCCUUAAUAAUAGUGGAAUCCAUAACACUUACGCUGCUUCUUGUUGAAAGGUAGUCCAAUUCCGAUUCUUUAGAGGCAGACUCAGAACUCGGCCGCUAACACUUCUUGUUGUUGUUGCGGGAUAAGGUUAGGCAGAUAAGAAUAAGAGGGAAGAGGCGGGGUGUAAUAGAAUAAGUCACUAACCACUCCUGGGACGGAUGCGGAUUCUAGACUUGUAAUAACCAUGCGCUUGUUGCUAACGCCAUAAAGACAGGACUCGUGGAGCCUAUAAUACCGACAGACACAUUAUUCUUUUGUGCCUCUUCUUGCCUAGUAGACCCCUUACCCUCGCUGAUCACUUAGUCUUGGUGGAGUCCCGAGUCAACCCUUGACUUAUUAGUAGAAUUCUGACGAUCACCUAAAUUCUUAAAGGAAAGGAAGGAGUCACUAACUUGUCUAUAAGGGCAAGCCGACAAGCUACUCUGUUACUUACUUGUUCCAUUCUGAUAUCUCUAUCUCUAUAUGCCCUAUUGUGGUAAGUAAACUAUAUGUAUUAUGACCCUAGUUGUUUUCUUAUCGGCUUCGGCGGAUUCUCUUGUGAAACAGCUGAUUCCCUUUCGGAUUCCCCUUGAAAACAGUACUUGAAGACAACAAUAAGCACUUACCGGUGAAGAAAGAUAUUAUCACUGCAAAAGCUAAUGCUGCCCUUAAGUAAUUGGUCGCUACUUACUACUAAGCUUUCCCCGAGUAUCAAUGAGUGUUUCCCCAUAAGAAAGAGGAGUUGACCCGAGUUAGAGAUUGUGCCCUUUUUACUGGGAAAGAAGCCUUAUUGAAGCGCGUAAGCUUAAAUGACUAUAGUUAGUGGCGGGCGUGAGCUUUGAAAAGAAGAUAUGGUUCCACCUUUCUGAAUAUAGAACUUUCAUAUAGAACAAAUUAUUGUGUAAGUAUAGCAAAGGUGCGUGCUCGGCUUUCCCUUGUAGUGGUCCAAGCAUCAAAGUGAAGUGAGGAUGCGGUCGCUCUUUCUGUCGUAUAACAAAGAAUGCGACGCCCACUAUGCGCUUAAGGGCAUAAGAUAGUCAAGGCAAGUAAGCUAUAAGUCCUUCUUGUAUUUCUGCAGUAUAAUCAUAUAAGGGAGUUUAGUAUAGAAUUAAGUAAUAUUCCUAGUCAUAAGUUCGAGUUGACGACUUGUUCUUUCUGGAAACUCGUAUUCCGUACUUACCUUACCAUCACCAACAAACACUAGUCCUGCAACAGAUCCGUCACCUGAUCAGAAAACAAACUUAGUAUGAUCUUUAUCUUGUUUCUGCGCCCCAACUUCUUAUCCUUAUUUUGAUUCCUCGACCCGACCUCUCUAUACUGGAGGAAUUGUUUGCUCACUGGCUUUUAACAACACCGCUACUAGUUGGGGAUUCUGAAAGAUCUGAUAUCGUAGCCAACACAGAGGAAACUCGAACAGCUUCUAUAUACGCCAACUAAGGUAAAGUUCACAAAAAAGAAUAGCAUACGCCCUAACUAAGGUAAAGUUCCAAAAAAGAAGAGUUGCUGGGCUGGGCGCUAUCACUACAAAGGAAAGUGCCAAUCAAUCACCUAAACCUACUCUCCACUUAGUACGAGCACCCAAAGCAAAGAGACGAAUAUGAAAUGGGGGGAUGCAGAACGAGUAUGAAGUACAGAGCAGAUGCGCGAUUCCCUUGCUGGUUCCUAAGCUAGUUUCCUAGGCCUAUCAAAAUCAAGGUUAGGUGAAGACAUAAAGGGCGAGAUGAGAUCUACUAGAAACUUUUGCUUGAUACAACACCGAGAUACAGAUAUGAUUCUGCAAGAAAAGAACUACAUGAAACCCACUCAUCGGCUCUUUUAAUGCAUUUUUCCGAACAUAUUUAUGUGCUCCAGAGUUGUAAGUGCGUAUAAGAGUUGUAAGUGCGUAUAUAAGUCUGGACUUGAAUGACCAAGCAGACGCCAAGUCACUACUAGACGCCAGACAAGGAACUACUAACCGCCUUUUCCCUCGGUUCACGACCUGAGUGGACAAAGAAGACCAUUGAUUGACUAUUGUUUAUCGAGAAAGAAAUGUAUGCACGCUGAGAUCCCCGUAAGCUUGUGAAGCACUGAAUGAUACUCUUAGUUAGAUGGAAUUUCAUCCACUCGAGGGGGAUAAUUUCAUUGUAUACAAUAAGCUUGAUGCCUGAGAAAUAGCAAGGAGCUAGUCCUUUUGGCUAUGCCUUUUUCUUUCUUCGUCCAGAAGUUCCUGGUUUUGCAAAGCCUGCUGUCAUUUGAGCUGCUCCUACGCCCUAAGUCAAAGAAAAGAGAGAGGAGAGAGAGGUACCGACGCAAGACGGGCAGACCUCAAAGGAUCCUCCAGAGGGAACAGAAUUGUUUCAUAGAAGAUACUUACUGACAUCUCAAGGAAUGAAUGGAAGAGAGCUGCGGUAGGAAUGAAUGGAAGAGAGUAAGGUGGCAUGUGGGAAGAGAGUAAGGUGGCAUGUGUUGUUAAUCCAUUUUGGCAGGAUGUAUAUUAGAAUGAAAUGCAGUUUAGAGUUAGCUGUUAACAAUCAGAUCUUAUAGGCGCUAAGAGAAGAGAGAGAAAAAGCAACGAAAAAGAGAAUGAAAGUAUAGCGUUAGUGAGUGGAGCCUAAGGAACUAUACGACAACGACAAUAAGAAUGAGACUCGGUAACAAAGCUAAACAAGCACCUCGAAACAAUAAGAGGAGAUUCGGUAACAAAGCGAAACUCAAAGAACUCCGCGAAACUAGAAGAAUUAGAUUCGGUAACAAAGCGAAACUCAAAGAACUCCGAAACUAGAAGUUGAUACAUGCGCGCCCUUACCCCGGAGAGUAAUAUGUGAAUAAGCAGGUUGUUUAUACAAUUCGAUAACAGGUGCAUUCAAUUCAAGUUGACAGAGCACUCGCCUGUCCUUUGUUGCGCUCCAAGUUAAGUCUAAAGUAGAGUUGCCUGUUGCAAGAGAAGUCAGAGAGUCGCCUGUUGCAAGAGAAGUAAGAAGUAGAGUAUAAAGUAUGGUUUUUCAACCUCUUGUUAGUGCUGGAUAAGUCUCGUAUUAAGUAUGGUUUUUCAACCUCUUGUUAAUGCAAGAGAUAUGGAGUAUAAAGUGGAGUAGCCUCUGGAGUAAGUAAUAGAAAGGGUGCCUCAUCAAUUCAAUGGUUAGGGAAAGGAAGAACUUAGUUUUGAAGCAAAAGGGCAUUGAACUCGCUAACGCUAAAAACAGGAUUGGAUUCUUCCCUUCUGCCCUGAACCAACAAGCAAGUAAGUCAACCACAAUAACUAGUAUGUAAACCAGCCUAUCUCUUAACUAGGCAAAACUACACCCCUCAACUUACAAAUAAGGGCACAAGAACAGAAAUGGAGCCAAACAUCUUUAACAAGAACAUCUGGAUCUGCCCUUGACUAUUAUAAUUGGGAAAGUGAACUACUCUUAAAGUCGAGCCUCUCUCUACUCUGGCAACAAUGCAUUUCACCCUGCUUGCGUCUACUGAUCUGGUUGACUUCACUCUAACUGCUGCUGACAGUAGUCUCCACUCAAUGUAACAACUGCCAAUUAAGUACUAUGGCCCAAUUCUAUGAUACCCUCGGGCUCUCAUUAAACUCUGGCAACAAAAACUAUGUCUCUCAAAAUGAAAUGAAAUCAUGCUUUCUUGCUCUAGCAGGGUUUCUUGCUCUAGCCCUUCAUUCCUAUACCAGUAGCUUGCCCCCUUGUUUCAUCUUAUUCUUCUAAAGAUAAAGAAGUUGUUUCAAGAGCAGGUGAGGAAAGGAGAGUUCUGGUUUUGUCUCCGAGAUCAUCAGCAGUAUCAAGUUGAGUUCUUGUAGAGGUGGUAAAAAGGAAUCAGAAUAAUCUUAAGAAUCAGAAGAAGCUAUUCGAAAGGAAGCAGCAAGUAGAGAGUCAGAAAAACUUAGAAGCGAUAUGUGCACUUCCACCAGCGCAGGAGCAAGCCAAUCACCUUAACCUGACCUUCGAACUAAUCCGGAUCUAUCUUAUAAUCUAGAACUACACUUUCCUUCUUAACCGAAAGAUGAAACUACAACCGACCCCGACUCUCAUUGCAAAGCAUCUUAGUCUGCUGGAACUUGGGAACUUGCUUCAAAACUCACUCCUAGCACCCAGAAACUAGAAAGUCAGAAAAGAAUGCAACUGUUAACUUACAUAGAAGAGAGUAACCAACUAGAGCAUGAAAGUAGACAAGCAACAGUACUAGAGCAACAAACCCAGGGAUCGGAGCGCCUUCGCCCCGCAUCUAAGAGAGAAGUUGACUUAACGCCCAAACUCACGUAUCAAAUGAAAUGAGAAUAACUAUUGUACUUUUUAGAUAAAAAGAGAAUAACGAGAGCUGCUUUUGGCUCUAAUUACACUAAGCAAAAAAUCAGUGGAAUUACUAUAAUCAAACUACUGGCUCUGCUCUAACUGCUGACCUUGCCUCUCGCUUCCCUUUCUUCUUAUUAAGUACACUGCUUCCCUUGAUGGACGCACACAGGACGUUGUUCACUACUACUGCCCAUUCGGUUCCUAUAACUUCAUUCUUAAACCACAUAGCAAGUAGGCUAGCCACUACUGAAAAGCAGAAUUGCAUCGGUUUCAAGAUCUGACUUAGUUUCAAGAGCAGAUAGAUGCCGAAGCGGGAAUAUCCGUUUUCUCAGAAGCAACAACUGGUGGAUCUGGCCCAGCUAUAACAGCUUACCUUUGACUUGCCCCAACACAUUCCCCAUCUUGCUCUGCCCCCCCCAACGAAAGGCUGUUGAAAUUCAUUCAUUAUUAAUAACAUUUUCUUUGACCGGGAUGCACUAUCUUAAACAAGCAAGCAAAGAAUAUCCUUCCCAUCUUGCUACCAAUAUAGGUGCGGAAACUUCACUGCUUACGGAAACUCACGUUAGAGCACUUGUUCGAACUUAACUUUAAGCGCGUCACUAAUGGAAUUCGCUAACGCCGAAAACGGUUAACUUGCUUAUUUAUUACUGUUACUAAUGCCGACUCAGAUAGGAAUUCGACUAACUUGCUUGCUGAACUCACCAACUAGAAAUAUUUCCAGCGCCGAGGAAAACUAAGCUCAGAAUUAAUUGAACAUUGAUUACUGAUGUGCAUAUAAUAGAUGAAUGUCAUAAAGCUGCUCAUCUCGCAGAUAAUAGAUAUGAAUGUUACAGCUGCAUUGCUUCCUUUCCUUUUUUUAGCACCCCGAGAAUCAUCCAACGCACCAUUCACUAACGCCAGGUUGCUUCUCUUGGCGCCGCUCCAUGCUUUCCCUUAACCUUUUCAUGUUCAAUAUUACUGGGAAAUCCAAAGUAUUAGUAUUUGGGGAUCUAUUUUCUUAUUGUUUCAGGAGCACAAGCAACGUUGUUCCUAAGUGCUUGUUGAGUUCUUUAGUUCGCUAACGCUAUUCAUUGUUUCAGGGGCGAUAUAACUAUUUAUUGUGUUUCAGGGUGCUGAUCUGAUAUGAUUAACUUAAAUGCUCUCUUUUGAAAAUCCAUAAAUGUAUUUGGAUUCUAUUAGUGUAGUUGUUAGUCUCAACAAUUCUUUUCUUUUGAGUAGAGGAGAGAGAGCGGCUUAUUAGUUAGUGGUGAUUUGAAGUUUCGUAGUGUUGUUACUUUCAUUAUAUCACAUAGGCCAGAUAGGCUCAAAAGAGAGGUUUUCCCUAGUUCAACAAGUCAACUGUGAGUAAGCUGUGUUGUUAUUGAAUUCUAUCAUAUGCCAAAGAUAGGCUAAAGAAAGAGGCAUGUAUGCUUUCUUCCCCUAAUGCCAGAUAACAAAGAGGUUUUCCCUAGUUACGAAGAUAGCUCCAUUCUAUUAAUUAAAGCAAGGGAACCAUCAAGACGUUCUUCAAGUUUUGUUUAAGUGCUCUAGUAUUAGUAUAGUGAACUUUGGAACUCACUACAACUGUUGCUACUAGAUUAUUGCCCCAACUCAACCAACUUUCUUUCAACCUACCUAAGAGCUGACAGUUUCGAUUCUUGCGCCGAGCUAUCAUAGCAUAUAAGAUCUUAUUCAUAUUAAAAGUAUCUGAAAAACCCCUAUAGAUAUAUUAUUAGCUUUUGCCGACCCCUUCUGGAAGUGAGGAACCUUGUUUGUUUGGCACUGCGGAUUCAGCCAUACUUUCCCCUUUACUAGUUUGAUUACGGACUUCUUCUUCCCAACAUAGCUAGUUAUUAGUAAGUGUCGCUACACCUUUUCUAGUUCGGGGGCUUAAUGAUGGAUUUGCCAUAAGAGUCAUAUUGAACAUAGGCAUACGGGUUUAAGCGAUGCAAAAAGGCAACUAUCGGGAGGGGGUGCUUGAACGCCGUUACCUCCAACACUUGCUCACUCUGUUACUCCUUACUAAACCACUCCAGUUAGCACCGAACUUAUCUAAUGACCCUAAAUUCUAUACUCAAUCAACUUGUUCUGCUUUUGUCGUCGCUUGCUGCUUCCUUUCGAACUCUACAAACUCAGACUUGUUCCAUUGCUUCCUCACUCCUAACUCUAAACGGGAAUCUAUCAGCUAGGCAACCCCUAUCCCUAUUUCAAAGAACAUGCGAUUUGUGCACCGCUAUCCAUCCCCACUUAAGAACUCAGCUCAGCUAGGCACCGCUAUCCAUAACAAACUUAAUGAAAACUGUUCAAUUCCAAAUAACAACUAUCCAUAACUAACAACACUGUGAAACUACAAUUCACCACUAAUGAACUCCGAACCAUAAGCCUUUGUUAGCGCCAUGGCCCUGAGACGAGACUGACUCCUUAUUUGAAACAACGAUCAGCAACCGGCAGUGCUGUAAUGUAAAGUAAAGGAUAGGACUAACCAAUGGACAACAUCCUAUUUUGGAACAUCUUGAAGCUAAUUUCUAACACGAGUUUUGUUUUGUUUAUAAAGCCUAAGUCAGCAGGGCAGUAAGCAGUUUCGUUUUGUUGGAUGGAGCAUAGAGAGCAAGUAAUGGCGAAAGCCUAAGUAAGUGCUUAGGGGAGUGAAGUUACUACAGUCAGGUUACUCCUCUGCCUAAGGGCUAAUGCGAGUUACUACAGUCAGGUUACUAUCCUUUUUCUACAAAUAAGUUAUGUGCACUAGAUUCAACAAGCGAAUUCUACAGUUAUAUGCUCUUAUAGAGAGAUAGAAUAGAUGAUUAAUAUGACCCUAACAGUUGUUGCAAGAGAAGCUGUAUCCGGUUUAGUAGAAAGUAUUGUAUCGGGGGCAAGCUACGUAUAGACUGAACCCUGACUUAAGGCAGAAGCGGAAGAACCACUUACUGCUUAUUGAAGUGAAAGAACCACUAGAAUCAUUAAGUCCAAUAGCAUCAACUAAGGACUCAACAAUAGCUCCGUAAGCGCCAAGCACCAUUUCAUUCGAAUAAGUAAAGACUCUCGUAGCUCUGGAGACAAUAUAGCCUUCCAGUGACGGAGCAAGCAAUCCGAUAAGAUAAGGAAGGGAUAAGGCAACAAGCAACGUGAAACUCGGCUGAAACUGCAAGUCAAACAAACAGAAUUGCAUUUCAUGUUGACCCGCUUGUAGCUUACUUUGGCACCUCUGAUUCUUGAGUGAACUUUCCUGCCUCAGAUCCAUACUGGGAAUCUAUUUCUGAUUCUCGAAUUACUUAUGUUAUUGCAGCUGACUUACUUGCGCACUAAACAUCACUUUAGGAACCUGAACCACUACUUUAAGCGUUGUACCCGGCUUCCUUACCUGCUCUUAAAACUUCCACUAAUGAUUCAUUCCCAUCGCCAAUACUAAGGGGCUGGAAACCAAACUAGUAACUACUAAACUAGCAACUACUUAAGACUUUACCACAAGACAUAAUUGACUACUUGCUGAAUGAGGCUCAUCUAACUCAGGAGUCAAAGAAAGGCCAAGCAAAGGCGCGCCAAGCAACGACUAACUCUUUCACUCCUUUACUAAUUUACUUACCUCAAAACAGCUAAUGAAUUAAGUCUGACUCUUAUCCUUCUUUCUCUUACUCUUAUCCUUCUCCAGCUUCUAAGUAAUACUCUUAUCCUUCUCAUCCUUCUGAUGAUACUUAUCCAGUUUGCUUCUUCAAUGGGCACCGAGUCUGGGCCAGAUCUAGCUUAUGAUCUUUAUUCAGCUGAUUACUUUAUAACAGGCAAUUAUCCAAGUUCACCUUCCGGAAAAGAAUUCAUUGAUUAUUGAGCACCGGGCUCCUGCCGUUUUGAACUAUCUACCGCCGAACACAGGACUUUACAUAACAUGCCGCAAGCUAUUACCAUCGCUCGAAAUUAGGACUCCAUAACUGAACCUCUAUCGUCACCAACACAGGCACCCGCCAAUACUAGGCUAAACGGGACCCAUACGAGGCACCCCAGUGGACGCAACUUAGUAUUCAACCACAGGCGCUCCCCCAAUAGGCACAACUCAGUACUUAAUGUUGCUUCUCUCUUGAUAGUCUUCAUCCCUUAGUUUCAUCCGUUCUCCUAUAAUAUAAUAUAAUAGAAAUAGAUAGGGACCAAGCGUAUACUAGUUGUUGAGUCAAGUCAAACUCUAUUUAGAAUCUAUUUUAGGAAUAGCCCCCUUAUAUAAGUAUUGAAUAGAGGCACCCUUUGUUGAACAAAUCUCUCCCCUCAUAGUCGUUUUUAUAAGUAAGAGUUGACCUCGCUCUCGCUAACCUGGUGCUAUCAAUUCUGCAAUUCUUACAGGCAAUGGUGAGGAAUAAAGGGAAGAAAGAUAAUCGUAUAAAGUAAGCAGGGACAGAAAGAGACUCGUCUCCAACAACAAGAACAAGAGCUGGGCUACCGGGGUUUACAUCGCCAAGUGUAGUUCUCUGAUCUUCAGAGCUCAAAUCAAUUCCAUUCCUGUGCCCCUAAGUGAUUGGUGUCCUGGGUAGAGCAACUGUAACUGUCUUACAUCCUCUGUGCUAAGGGAGUUGGGCCAUAGUACAUAAUUGCUAGCGCAUCUAGUAUCUAAUGAAUGGAAGGCCCUAAUACAUAAUUGGUAGCGCAUUACCCUUCCACUCUGAUAGGUCGGCAAGGGAAGAAAGAUCUGAUUGCACUCCGCCGCAACAAGGCAUCUAAGGCAACUCAAUGGAAUUUGUUUACUCGGUCUCAGGGAAGGGAAUAGAUUUACCAGACUCCACUCGGGAUUUCACUCUUACUUUAACUUGACCUGGACUACUACUUGGACUACUACUAUAAGGUGCUGUAAACCAUGGCUAUAAGUAUCUCGGGCUAAAGGAUGCAGUUAGAGCAGAGCCAGAUCCACCGGGUAUCAAGGACAGAGGCAGAGGAAAACAAAGGGUUAGUUAGGUCUACAACCACACCUGAAACAAGGGAAGAAACAAGGUAAGGAGAAGAGGUAAGAGAAGUCAGAGAGGAAUAAAGAUCAGAAGUCGGGAGUUGGGAGUUAAAGAAGCAAGUUCAGAAUUAGAGUAUUGUUGCCAUAGGGGUCUAUUAGCCGUAGGGGUAUAAUAGAUAUGGGUAACUACCAGAUACAGGUAUAUUAGAGCUAGCUUAUAUAGUAAUAUAGUAGGAAGAGUCCAUAGUGGGUUUCAGAGCCUAUGCUAAGGGAGUAGAAGAACCUAUGCGAGCCUAUGCUAAGGGAGUAGAAGAACCUAUGUGAGCCUAUGCUAAGAAGGGAGAAGAUUCCAUCGUGGGUGGAUUAGCUCCGUAUGCUACAUCAGAGAGCCUAUGCUAAGUGAGUUGUUGUAUAAGCUAUCUAUUUAGUUGGGGAGUAGUAGUAUAAGCUAUCUAUGGAGUGGAGUCUAUAUUGAGUUGGCCAAGUCACUUCUACAAAAGCCAAGAAUCGGACAGAACUCUUGGGGGGCGAGUCGAGGAAAGAGGAGUUCAUUACUAGGGAGUGAAAGAGAAAGAGUCAAAAGAGACAGAGUGAAGAGUUAGAGGAGAGAGAAGAUCUGAAGCUGUAAGGAAAGAAAGUGGUGAGCCAAGCCAGAGGUAUAACAGAGGUCAAGUGGAAAGUUAGAGCCAGAGCAAGUCAUUACCAAGUCCUGUUUUUUGGAGCUAUAAAACUGUGUUCGGGUGCUGAAAGCCUCGGCGAAAUUGACCCUGUAACCUCGGGAGAAGGGGUGCUCUCCUAAAUCUAUCUAUUUUAUUACGGAUUAGGAAAGUGAGAAGGGAGUCCAGCAGUUACGGUGUGUUCAAGAAGCGAGGGAAAGAACUUGACUUGAGACUUGAGUCCAGGGCAACAGCCUAACGCCAUAAAUACCACUCAUACGUUAGCUUCUAUUUUGUUGUUAGUUUGAUAUAGAAUAGAAUCUAUUGUAAAGACGGACGGACUAUAGGAAUUGACUGUGGAUCUCUGUGGAAGCAAUUGAAGAAAGGACGAUUGCAGACAGAUCCUACUCUCUUCUCUUUCCUUACUAACAAUCUAGCAAAUUGUCCAACUAAUGAAUUGACGCCUAGAAAGAUAGACCAGACCCGAGAGUUGUUUCCGUAGUUGGCCUAGAAAGAUAGACCAGACCUGAGAGUUGUUUCCGUAGUUGGCCUAGAAAGAAAAGAAUAUCAUGCCGCCUCAUUGUGGGCUUUAGCAAGAAUGGAAAUAGGAUUGAGAUGGAUGAGAGGGAAGUUUACGCGGUUCAACCAACCUGCGGCAUAGUAGUCUGUUUAAGCAGUUGUUGCGAGGUUACUGCACCCAAAGCAAAGAGACUCGUAUUCUGUUGCUUAGGCCUUUUCACUGCUAGUUCUGUGCUCAAACACUCUAUCUUGUAGAAAUAAGCACGUGAGGGGAUAUCGAGUGAUCUACAAAGGACGAUUUCUCCUCUGUCUUUUGUGCCUCAUGGGAAACCCAGAGUCCUUCGAAAAAGUGAUCAAAAGAGUGUUGGAUUGAAAAAGGCUAAAUCAACUAAAAAGCAAAUAAGCAUCUUCACUAUUAUAGGGCUUUCUCUUUCUUAAUGUUUACGUUGGGCUCUUUCUUAUUGGAGUAGUGAGCUUCUUCUUCACUCCUUGCCUCUCAAGAAAUCAUAUAUGAGCCUAGCACUUAAUAAUCCAGUGAGGAAAGGAAGAGACAGACCAAAGAGAAAGAAUCAUUUAGAACAUACAUCUUCGACAGGUUCUUACCCUCGCUGGCAGUUCCAUAAGAUAGGGUGACUUUCACAGAGCAUAGCUUCCAAACUACUCCUAACACGUAACUGACUUUAGCACAAUUCCCUUAAAACACUUGACUAAUGAAUAACCAACUGAAGCGAAGCGAUUGAGCACUUGAGCAUUCCCUUGGGCGACAGAAGAUGGCAAAAGAAGUGCAGGCGAAGGCUAAAGGAAGCUACCCCAUAUAUCAAACCUUUAUAAUGCCAUAUGCCAGUGAACUGGAAGAGAUAGUAUAGAAAGCCCUUCCAAACCAAUAGAUAGAAAGUGAGGAUCUUGAUUUCCUCCCGCCCCCGUUUGACUUGAGCACAACGGAACUGGCUGUUGAAUAGCUUGCUCUUGCACAGGAUCUUUAAAGAGCAAGAUUGAGCCCAAAGUAAACAUAAAGAAAGCCGAGACAGAAGUGCUGGCCUUUGACCGAGCGCAUUAGAUUAGUAUUAGCAAGAGAAGAGGUGUUCUUCCGCCUUUACCGAGCACAUUAUAGAAUGAAGUAAACAAACAGAGCAUCGCAGGCAGUUUUAGAGCUUCAGCGCCUAGCAGUUCUAUAAAGGGGCAGCACAUAAAAAGGAAUUCCUCUCAAGGAAGAAAAUGCUAUAGGUGUGAAGUGGGUUUACAAAAUCAAUCCAAAUGAAAAAGAUCACUUCCACUUUAGGAUAUGCGUUAGGCUGUCGGUCCAUGAAUGUGUAGAAAUGGAGUAAAACACUCAAGGAGUUCUUCAUUCCGGAUUCAGGGCAGAGGCACCGAUCGUUGCGCGUUAGCAAAGAGAAUGUUUCGAAGCGUUUGUUUACGCUGUAGGGAGUCAACCAAGAAUUCCAUAAAUAAGUAAACCUGCAAUAAAAGAAGAAAAGUCUGUCCUAGCCUCCCGGUACUAUAGAAUUUCUAAAAAGAGUUAGUGUUCCAGCGAGGCAACUCGGGCUCGAAAGAAAGCAAUGAUGCUCGAAAGGUUCUAUCUAAUGUAACAGCUUACACAGUCCUCGAUCCUAUAAAGAAAGUAUGCUUUAGAAGUAUCAAUGAAGCCAAGAAGGGGAGGAUUUCCGCCGGGUUAAAGGUCUUUGACUCUAUUCUAUAAUAGGAGAGCACUAAAUGAGAGAAAUGAUUCAAGCAAGCGAUAAAGGGAUAAUAUCAAAUAGAGAAAAACUAGGAACAAAGAAGCAAAGAAUAAGAUAAAGUAUUAGGAAUAGGAACAGCGCAUAUAAGAGCGUAACGACUCUUUCCAAAGGUUAUCCCUUCAUUACUUUAGCAGGAUCAGAAACAUCUCGGGAGUCAAUACCCCUCCUAUUCUUGGGGACAGAGACAGGGAAAAAUAGGUCUCCCAUUAAGGUUAGAAGGGGGAAAGAAAGAACCGCUCAGAGGAGAUAGGAUAGAGAUAGCCUUUUAUGAAAAAGAAAGGAAAGGGGCCCUUUUCCUUAUGAUCGGGGAGGAACUAGCUCCCAAAAACAGUACUUGGUAAUAACUGGUGCAGCUGACAAUUCACUUAAGUAUUGGACUGAAACCUUUCUCCACACUGGUUUAGGCGGCGCAGGCUAUAGGGUAGCAGGCUCGUGUGAUCGGCUUCCGGGUGUUGGCAAAGCAGAUAAUCGUAAAGCAACUCGUCUGGAAGGGACCUACCACUCUAUGUAUGUUGAGGGAACAGCCUUACUUUUCACUCCCUUUUGUUCAAGCGUAAGACGAAUCUGCUAGUACAUGGGAUCAGCUACUUAGAAUACGAUAACGAUACCGCAAAAGGUGCAAAGCGGCUAGGUCUUGGACCUUCUAGCAAAGAAAGCAGGGGCGCAUCCCGGGUGUAAGCUGUUAAAGUAGUCCUAUAAUAUCCUGUAUGAAAACCAUACAAUUACUAUCAAUGACUUUUUGACUAUUCUAUGCCCGCAAUGAAAGCCUUUAGCCGGCCUUCAAAGUAAAGCUAUAAUGAGUUCUUUCCAAGGUCUCCCAUUCCUUUCAAUCGGGGAUACUUUCUUUUGGAUCGGGCUUGUUGUCGGUCUGGGUGGUAUUAACUAAUGCAUUUCUGAAACCUAUCCUCCUAUUCGAUAGAAAGACUCAAUUUCAUAAGAGAAAAGAAAGCAACGAAGAAAAUGACUUUGUGCUCUCGCUCAGAGCGGAAUGAAAGUGUUCUCUUUUAUUGUAUGAAGACUUAUUUUGAUCAAGUGUUGUGAAGUGAGAAAGAUGUAUAGGUAAGCAGUCUUGACUUAACUCGACCCAGACCAAACAAUCCCGCCUCUCUCAGUUGGUUAGAUAGUGUCAAUAUCUUUUCUAUCUCAAUUGAAAGCCUCCAUUCAUUGCUAUCCGGAAGGAAAAAGGCAUCAGAAUCAGAAUAAGGGACUGUCUUCGAUCCCGUUCACUAGCUUCGUGAGUAGAAAACAAAGGAAGGUAGUUCAUGCGGGCUUUUGACCAGUGCAUCAAGUAUCACGAUCAGGAUCCGCUAACUCAGCAACUAAGAAGAAGCGAGGGCGAGCUUAGGCUGGCUCACUUAUCAAAUGCCGGUUCGACUCGGGUCGUACUAGGAAUCCGGUAGUAAAGCAGGAUGGAAAGCAAAGCGGGUAUCAGUGAUUGGAAAGGCAAGGGUAUAGCAGGGAAAGCCCACAAUUGAACAUAUCCUUAUGAGGUCCGUUUCCUUAUGGUAGGACUCAGAGUCAACUUACAAUAACAGUCUAUUGGCGGUUAAACAAACUCUAUCCCAUAGGGACCGGGCCUACAAUUUGGCCUUUGCGCUCUCCUCGUGUACUAACAGAUGGAUCAAAGGUAGAGUAGUCUAUUCCUAUUUGACAUACAUGGUAGUUGGACCUACUUUCUGAGUGUAUGAAAGAAAAGCGAAACUCACAUGACUAUCUCCGGUGGCCCCGACCAGAAAACUUUCCCGCUUAACCAGUUAACUUAGGACCUAUUUGAUGAUAAAGCGGCUGCAGGAAUUGCUUACAUAAAUUCACUACUUCCUCGUCGAGCUCUAUUUCAACCCAACUCUAUGUCGUUUACAGCUCUAUUUCAACCCAACUCUAUGUCGUUUACAGCUCUAUUUCAACCCAACUCUAUUUCAAUCCGAUCCGGAGAGCAUUUCGAAUGCAGUUAACUCAAAGGGAAAUGGAAAUGACUUACUCGGUUCAAGAUAGGAUUUGCUUAGCUUUCUUUUUGACCACUACUCUUACCUUAGCACCAAGUCAAGACCAGACAUAAUAAAUAUCGGAAAGAUAGCACCAAAAGAGAAAGAAAGUCACUUGUAAAUCAUAGCGGAAUCCAAAGAGAGAUAGGAAUGAAAAGCCCUAGCAUGCUUACGCUCUCUUAUUCUACUAUCGGUUUCUCGAAUCGGAGCGGGCAAGAGCAAGAGGAAGAGAAACACUAUUAUUCGUACUCGCUCCUCUGUUCGUGAGCAAUCUUCCCAUGGCUCACAUCUCUCUCUACUGCUGAUAAAGAUAGAAAGGAAGACUAGUCCGGCAACAAUUCCUUGAGAGUCUUAGGGCCGAUUCUACUACUAUAAGAAAGAGACCAGCCUUUUCUACUUUAGGUCUAAGGCUAGCAAGCGGUCUGACUCGCUCUAGCUAUAGCAACUCUAGGAAGCAGGGUCUAGCUCCAGUCCCUCGACUCUAGAUAUGGUAACUCGAUAGUGGAGUAAGGACAUUCAUGAAGGUCUAGUCCUCGUUCGUGAGCCAUACCCAUUGAUCUCUCACUACCAAUAGUUCUCUCACUCUUUCUAGUAAGAUCAAGUUAUGAUAAAGAAAGCAAUCAGAAAAGCAUGUCCACUUAUUUGAGAAAUAUUCACUCUUUCAUAAGUAAAUCGGACCUUAUUUAUGUUUUUAUAGUUCAACCCGAGUAGUAAAAAACGAGAGUGAUAGUACGCCCGUAUAGCUAUAGCUCACUGAAGAAUAACACUUGAUGGAGUAAGCUGUUGAAUAAUCACCAGCCCAACCACCUGCAAUAGUAGCAGAUUACCCACCAGGCGAUUCAUAUAAAUAUGCAGUCUCUUCCCGCAGGUGCAAGUGAAGGGUUAACUAUUACUGUGACAGAAAGACCGCUACCGGAGCUACCUCUUCAACUUUACGCUCUCAUGGCUCACUCCUACACCGUUCGAGAGCUAUGUGUAUUGCUCUCUCACUCCUUAUAGACAAGGAAAAGACAGAUAAGAUAAGGAUCAAAAUAAUAGAGAUAAGAUAAGGAUCCAAAUAAUAGAAGCGUUUCCAUCCUAAUAGAAGCGUGUUCCUAAACGACUAUAUCUGUGUAUUCCCUAGCUAGAGUGGAAUUGAGACUCCUACUAUAAGACUAGAAACAGGAAAUCGACUAGCACCAUAUCUUAAUCUUAUUCAAAUGCACUUUUACAUUGGAAUUGGUUUUUCAAAUGCACUUUUACAUUGGAAUGGGUUUCCGCUUCUCUAUUCAAUAAUAACACAUUCUAUUGGUUUCCGCUUCUCUAUUCAAUAGUAACACAUUCUGAUUAAAGUAUACUAUUAUUUCUCAUAGGUUCUUAUUCCAAUGUUUCCCUACAUUGAUUUGAGUUUCUGCUUCUCUAUUCUUAUUUGGUGUAUACCAUUAUUCUGGAUAGGUUCUCUCCUACUCCUGAGCAAUGUCCCUCUCACUCACUCUACCAGACUACAUUACGAGGACGAAAGGACAGCGUACAGGAACCGACCAUUAACCGUUGGUGGUAAAGGUCAGGGGUUAAUGAUCAAGGCGAGUCUCCGUCAGCGGGAAUCGGGGUAACCAGUUUGCCUUCGACCGUAAACCAAAUGGAUCAGCAUUCAUCUUGGGGUUUCGCAAUGCCAUGAAUACGGCAGAACCUACCUUAUAGUUGACUUCUCGCAGGGGCCAAGGGCCAAGCAACGGCGCGCCAAGCUACUACUACAAACGCAUAGCAAGUACAGAACUCAUAUAAUAUAUAUUAAUUGGCUGUUAGCAAGUCCUGUCUUCGAGGCGGCAGCGAGCUAAAAACUGCGCGGCAGCAACAACAUAGAUACAUUAUAACUCGUUAUAACCAAAUCCUGUUUAAACCCAUAUUGUGUAAGUAGAGCGUCAAGAUGAGUUGUUUUCUGGUUUAUUUGUUCUUUCUAAUUUAUUGUUCGAUAGUUUUCUCCCAUCAUUCUUAUCACUUAGGGCUUACUAGCUACUAACUUAGGGCUUACUACUAACUACUAACUAGCUUCGGGCAAUCGGUGGUCUAGUAACUGACUUCAACAACUACCCGCCAAGCCAACAAGCACUUAAGGAUUGAAAACGGAUUCUUCCAAGAUUAGAGUUUCGCAAGUCAUUCCACAAUCCCAGCAGCUUCUUAGUGGAAUGGGAAAUGCCCUAUGAAGAGAGAAAACCCGCUUUCAAUGGCUUUUUUGCCUAUAAACACAAGGCAGUUAGAGUUUAGUCUACCGGUGAGGAAGCAAGAGCGAGCAAGCAACGAAGUGGAUCUCUUAGUAUUAGAUUCCGUUUGUGUUGUUGGUUCAUCAAGGAGAGUUCGGGCUACAAUCUCUUAUGCUUUAACUCUCAACUAAGAAUUCCAAUCCAAUAGUCAGAAUGGGUUCGGGUACAUCCUUUAGCGCAUUCUAUUAUUACUUGAAACCGGAGAAACUCAAUGACUUUCUUUCCUUCUCGAUUCUAAGCUUGCAGCUGACCUUACUUUAGCCUUAUAACCUACACAGCCUAAGUAUAGUCUACUUUACUCGAACAGAAACGAUACUGCAUAUCAGGACCGAUGCACUUCCCUUUAUAGUUCUUUUGCCGAACUCACUCUUGUUUUAGUUUCAACUGAACUUCCUCUUGCUCCUUUAGUUUUGAAACGGAGUCUGGCCUGGGUCUGGAAGCAAAGCUGUUUGUUUACGUUCCUCUCUGGUUGUUGACUCUUUACUCUAUCUAAGCAAGAGAGAUAUUCCAAAUUCAAAUGAAACAAGGCGAGUUGGGUCGACGAGAUGGGGAUAUUAAUAUUAAGAAUCUGCUGGAGCCGGAUCAGUAGAAAGUUUUGUUAUAGAAGUAUAGAAGGUUUUACAUAAGAAGUGGAAGCUCUGGUUGGUAACUCCACUUAUUGUUUUGCUGUAGCUCAAGCAAAGUACUCUCGUGAAAUACCAGUUCCAAUUCUAGGAUCCGUAGAGGCUAAAGCGGAUGCUGGAUCUGGCAAGGAAGCGCGGUUAAGUGUCGAAAAGAGAGGUGAAGUUCUUUUAAAUGAUGUUUCUUUUCUUGGUAAAGUAGAAAGUCUAGGUGUUGACGAUGAAACCAGUUUACAAGUCUAGGUGUUGGCGAUUGGAAUGAAUCCACCAGUUUCAAGGAAGCAAGUGGGAGGUCGGUCGGGCCUAUAUAAUAAGUCUUGGGGUUGACAGCGAUACAGCUUUUCAUUCUGAUUCUGAUGCUUACCAUUGAUUAUAGUGGUAUAAACAAACAAAUACUUUUUCCAACUUCGAUUCUAUUAUCGAUUCAAUGUCGCACUAAAAGAUAUUUACUUCGGAUCAACUGCUUUGCUUCAGCAAGGUUGUCGUCAAGUGGAAGUUCAGAAUUAUAUUCAAUAUAUAGAGCACCUGCACCCAAGUAUAGAAAUAAGUAAAUACAUUGCUUCUGCAUUCAUCUGUAGUUUUCAUCAUGAAAUCCAGCUCUAGCUGCGCCCUUGGUAUGACUUUAUUUCUUCUCUCGAGCACAUGGAUAGACUCAUGCAAAGAUACACACUGCUCUGCUUCCCUUGAUACACACUGCUCUGCUUCCCUUUACUCUCAACUUGAAGAAUGGAAUGCAAUUAUUUCAUAAUAGAGUUUACUUACUGCCACAAAUCUUGCAUACUAAUACAAAGAAUAUAGCUGGAACUAUAGGAAACUACUUUGAGCCGGCUGCUGACUUGAUAUUCUUCCUUGAAAACCGCUUACGCUUACUUUUGUCUUAUGAAGCUAUGAGGCGCGUUGGGACCGGGCAAUAAUAUGGGUUCGGAUGCUCACCAGAGUUUUCAUUAGUGGGAACUACUUGGGGCUGGAAACCAAUAUUUGCUCAUUGCUGGAAACCUUAUUGUCGGCUUGAAAACGCUAUCCUCUAUACUCGGGUUAAGGUUAAGCAUAAAUACCCAAUUAUCGUCAUUUAAGUAAUAUGGUAAACUCAUUGAAUGGAAAUUGACCCAUCAAAUGCCACUAUCGGAUGUUCUACUACAUUUGAGCCUAACAUAUUACUUGUUCAAAGCGACUCUAGGGGCAGGACAACCAACCUCUGGCGCAGCGGAACAAACCACUGCUUCUGCGCAAGUACUUAAAGAAUCCCUUAAUCCGAAUAGGGAAUUCCAUUCCAGUUUUUGUAGAGUUGAGAGAAUGCUUGUCAACGAAAAUGCACCCGUUAUAGAAAAUGGUAACCACUGAGAUGGGUAGCGAGUUCCCCUUAGCCUAGCCUAAGUUCAGUUGUCAACGAGAUAAAGAUCAUAAGUUAUAGUAGAUGAAAAGUCAGGAAAGGAAGUAUAAUACCCAGAUGAAGCAGAAGCAAGUAGAGAGUCAUAAGCGGUACCCGAAGUAGGAACAAGAUCUGAAGCUGUCUCAUCAAUCUGAAGUUGUCUCAUCAGGAAGGGAAAGAAAGAAAGCAGUGUCAGUUUGAUAGCUAGGAUAUUGUUUGAGAGCUGGGAUAGUAAGGCUUGGCGCUACCGGUGAGUCAGAUUGACUACCCAACAUAGUUCAUUAUGAUUUGUAUGGGGUUCAUUCCAUAUUACCAUUAGGGAUCCCAUGUUUAUUGUAUAAGUAUGAGAAAUAGUCAGUCGUUUUAUUCCUUAUCGGGUGUUCUAGUCCGUUUGCCAGUAGCUCUAUUCUCUUAUUAAUAUUGGUUCGAGCCUUGUUAUCGGUAGUACCGGUUAAUAGCAAAUAUCAUAUGAAAACACGCAUAGCAAUAUAAGUCAAAAGAAUCAUUAAUGGAAAGUCAAAUCAUAAUCAAUAUUAGAUGAGGGAAUGCUAGUUUAGAAUCAAGUUUGAAACAAGCAAGUAAGGAAUGUCGAACUGAGAGAAAUUGGUGCCCGGGCUAACCUCUACUGUGAAAGAACGAUUGGGGUAUGCUUCCUUCAUUGCCUUACCUUACAUUCGGGCUAUCAUCUAAAGUGGGUUAGGCUAGCAACUAGUCGUCAUAAAAGAGAGAUCUGAGUUUUGCUUUAGCAAGAGGCCUAUUGUUCGCAGACACCCACUUCUAUUAGCUGACAUAAAAGACAAAGAUUCUUCGUUCGUUGUUUAUGAUAAAGAGUUCGAGAUCAGAGAGGGCAGACCGGCCACAACGUCUGGCAUAGUAUGAAAUGGUGCCCUUGGCUCAGUCCUGCCAGCAGUAGUUCUUUCGAUGCUAUUACUAUUGGGCAGAGCAGAGCGCUAACCGAGUCUUAGUCUUUUGCCUCUGUGCUAUUAUAGUAUAGUGAGCUCGCUUACUCUGAUCGUACUGCGUGGACGUCUAAUAAGAAAUAGGCUCAAGCACCAGAUCAUCAUCAGCAAGAAAACGGCAUUGCUGCUACUACUUACAUUACAACCAAAAUCUUUGGACAAAGAAAGACAGGCGUACCGGCACUCACCUAUAGCUCCAAUCACUUACAACAUGCACUCACCUAUAGCUACAAUCACUUACAACAUAAAGAGCUUGGGGGGUUGGUUGGGCAUUAGAAAGGAUUCCACUAUUAUCAUUACCAGAAAGAGACAAGGGGCUUACCAACAGACCUGCUACCUUCCAUCGGACCCAUUUUAUGGAAAGGCCAUGACUAUUACUAGAAAGAAAGGAAGUCAAAUUGAGCUGAGUCCACCUGGCAAAGCAAGCUUCAAAAGUCAUGUUUGAAGGCUAGAUAGCGGCCUUAGGAACGGAUUGUGGUACCGCUUUCACUGCUUAGACCCUAGUUUUGCCUACAACUCCUUCCCUUAGAAGGGCCGUCAAAAGCCGGUGCUUUGGUUAACGGCUUACGAAGUUACUAAUCGUAGCCAACUUAUUCAAGAUAUAUUGUAUGCUUUCUCUUAUUAGAAAGAAAGAUAUUAGAAAGAAAGAAUUGAUUCAAGAUAUAUUGUAUGCUUUCUCUUAUUAGAAAUAAUAUAUAUGUGAAAAGAAAUAAUAUAUACGUGAAAGAAAAAGGGAACUAACUCGACUAGAAAGGCCUUCAAUCAAGCCAAAGGAGAUAGACCAUAAGCCUGGGAAAGGGGCUAGGCUAUUCCAGGGAAAGGGGCUAGGCUAUUCAAGCGAGGUCUUCCACUAUAUGGUAUAAAUUCAUAAGAUAGGGUGUGGGAUAGAGUGUGAACCUCAUGAAGCGUCUGACCUAACGAGUGCUCACAUUAUGGGUAGGAAAAGAAAGCAAAGGAAGAAUCCAUCCCACUAUUUUCUUAUUCAAAGGGGAUGGAAAAUGCAAAGCACUAGAACAAAGGAAAGGGGGAAGUUUAAGUCACGAGAGCGAGACUUCGCGGCUGUAGUGGGCAGGAUAGGCCAGCAGGCAGGAGCUAUUUUCAAGUGGCUAAGCCAUCAGUUCUGGUAUUACUUGAAGCGGAAACUUGUCUUAAAUGUAUCGAAAACCUAUAAAAUCCUAUGCAUGGAACGCAACUAACACUUUCACUCAAGCCCUAGCACUGAACCUCCAAAAAGGUAACUGGAUUCAUGGGAACUUGCUAGCCUCUAUUCUUAGGACCAUUCCAUUGACCUAGUAUCAUUCAUAAUCUCAAACGGCUAGGGCACUCCUCUUUCACGUACCAGAUGCUUUCAACAUUCCAUUCUUCCUUGUUUGAUUGCUUUAUUUACUCAUUUACAGUUUCAAUUCCGUCUUUGAUUCGGCAUCGAAGUAAGCGUAGAGGAGAUUGGUCAAGCCCACGCAUCUGUUAAAGUGCUUGAGUGGUCCCGUCUCCGGGCUAUCCAAAAGGGAGACUCUUACCCUAGCUCUGAAGGUCUUCGCCCAUUGCACCGGUCUUAACAUCAAGAUCUGAACAUAGCUUAUGUCGAGCUUACCUACCUUUCCGAAGAGAUUCGAUUAGAUUGUUGCCAAAGCCAUUGCUUGAAGGCCAUGAAGUUGUGGAUCAAUCUGCCACCUUGAGCUAAAAGCGCGUAAGUCAAUAGUUGUUCGCACCAAGCAACUACCCUUCCACUACUACCUUUGACUCUUUAAACAAACCUUCCCGAACGGAAACUCAACCUUUCAUUCCCCCCGCAAGCUUCAACUCAAAAGUCAGAAAUCAACUACUAGGCCCUAACGACAAAAACUCGUGUUGACAGGAAUGCUACUAAGAAGAAAUAAGAACUAUGAAUUCCAAUAAUACAAAUCAUAAUUGAAACACCUAUAAGAAGAGCCCUCUCUCUCAGACAACCUAGUUCUUUUGUCUUCUUGCCAACACCUAGGGUUCUUAAAAGUAUUCAUUGCGGAAUGGAACUCUAACCUAGGAAUCAGGAGUAUAAAACACUAACUGGAUAUAUGGAAUUCACCCUAUGCAAAGUAGGAAUAGAGCUAGUGGCUACAAAGAACAAACUAGAAACGCCCGGCGACCUUAGAGGCUAUAACCACUGAUCCCGAUCCUUGCUUUGUAGCAGCUUCAAACUACCCUUUCAAACUGACACUACUAACUUGGAUUCUUGCUUAUUAGAUUGGGCCUGCCAAUCCCGGUUGUGCGUUAGGGAGCGGGGGGCUAGGUGAGUGACCCUCUUUCUUCUAGAAUACAAAGCAAAUUCAGAAGUUUCCUAUACUGAUCUCAGAGACAACACUAGAACUGGGCCAUUCUCUUUAUUCUUCUCAGGCAUCUGAUCUUUCAACUCCAAAGUUCGAAUUGAGGAAUCUCAUUUCAUAAUUGAGUGUUGAUAGCCCGGGCCAAGUCACUACAAACGGCCAAGCGUCAAGCAACUCUAAGACAACUGCAAGAAUAGAAAACCACUCCGGUAGCGAGUUAAGCCCUUUACUGACUUUGAUUCUCCGUAUUGUUAUUUGAACACUUUGACUGCCGCAUCCAGAUCUUUGUUUCAGAGUAGUAUAACCCUAGUGUGAAGCAAUGAUCAAAUUCCAUUUCAAUCCGCCCUAAGUGAACCACAGAUCGAAUGUAUUCUGUGGAAGUAGGGUAUAAAAUAAUGGUUUGUCGAGUUUACCUGCGGUUGGAUGCGGGUAUGGUUUCAGGCGCUCGGUGCUGCAUUAGCGGUGGAGGUGCCAUCGUAGCCACAAUCUCGAACAUCGACCUACUUUUUGGCGUCAGUCGGAAACCAUAUGGGUUAGUUAGGUAGGGGUGAACAAAGAACGAGAUGCUCCGUUCGACGGUUAGCAACGUUUGGAUACUCUGUUAGUCCUUUGAUUGAGACCGAGCCCUCACUUGCCGAGCGAACCUAGUUUCAUUAUCCUUCGUUCGCAACCCCGAUUCGACAACAAUCGUCUGGCCACUGGGAAAGCUCAUACCAAGUAUCAGGUACCAAGUAAGUGUUCGUUGCCAUACUCUGAUGCUAGUGUAUCUGACACAGUCGAACUCCCUAAACAAUAAAGAAAAGGACCCUAUAGGGAAAGAUCCCACUGGACCAACCCCAAUGUCCUAAGUAGUUAAUGGCUUAACCGAGUAUGUAGUGCUUUGCUUGCAUGGCUUAACCAAGUAUACGAGUUAGUUGGGGUGCCAAAGUAAAGUUGUCGACGAGCCAGAUUACCAAUAGACUAAUAGCAUCAAAUACGUUUCUUAUUAUAUAUAAAUAGCAUCAAAUCCGUUUCUUAUUAUAUAGAAAGAGAAUAUUGAGUAUAGUAGUAGCUUGGAGAAGAGAAUAUUGAGUAUAGUAGUAGCUUGGCUCUAAGCUCCCUUUAGCUAGUGCCACUUAUAUAUCUGCCCUCUCCUCUCUUCCAUUUCUCCUUUUUUCUUCUCUACGUUACUAUUUCUAUUUCAACAGGAUUGCCGGUUUUGAUCAAUUCCUCGAUAACGUCAAACACUCGUUUAAGCCUGUGCGGGCGGGUUGGUUUUUACUACUUCAUAAAAGCAAUAAGUCCUCCUCAGUAUAUUCCUCAACAGUCGCCCCUACUAAAUAAGUACUCUGCAUGAGAUUCCUUAGCCCGCUCGAGCCUUAUCGCUCUGCGUCCAAAUCCAUACCUACCUCACUAUACUGUAUGAAUUCUCAGCGGUAAAUGCAUACCACUACCACGCCAGCUCUACAUCUGCUCGUCCAACCACACUUAAUCCAUGCGCACCCUCUUUGCGGACCCGUGGAAAUCAAGGACUAGAACACUCACCGAGACUCCAUUGAUUUUCAAGAUCACAUCUUCGUUCACUUUGUGCGCUGCUUCAUCCGGUGUUUCAUCAUCACCGCUUUUUUCUAUCCACUCAGCUGGGUCCCAUCUUUCCUCCUCCUGAGUGUACGAGAUACUAAUGGAAUUAGACACUCGGAACCCGCUUAUAUACGCUUGCAGAGGCCAUGCCGCAGAAUAGGCUACCUCACAACUCUUCAGCUCUUUUAACAGGGUCUCCUCGCAAUCUAUUAAAGCUUGAACCCCCUUUUCGGGCCGCUCGCAUGCUUUUUGCUGCAGCACCCCUAUUGUGAAAGGCCUACACUGCCUGUCAAAGGUAUCGAACUUUAGCCAACACACCUGCUCAUCCCUCCCCCGCUCAGCAAUAUUAUCUCGCAGCGGUUUAAGAGGCACGAAAACAAACUCCAUGAGCGAGAAGACCUCGUCCUUGUUAACCAAGUCCCUUCCAUCCAAAGUGCUCUUUGUGAGUACCUGCUCCGUUUGCAUCUGGGCGUGGAAGUGGAUAUACUCCUCAUAACUAUGCCUUGAUUUACUCAUUUUUUCCACGAGCAAAACCUUCAUGCGCUGUUUUCUCUGCGUUGUUAGUAUCUCCCUUUCACCUGGCUGAAGCAUAUCCUCUAUUUUCCCCAUUCUUUCUAUGAGUUCAUUGUCUCCUUUUGCUACCCCCAGCUUCUCCUUUUUUGAGCACAGAAGUAUUUCCGCAUGCUCCUCGUUAUACUGCAGUGGUAUAAACCUUGCAUUAUUCCAUAGGACCUGCUUUUUCUUAAGUCUACUGUGGAUACAUCCCCAUAGGGUAGCUAUUAUCCUCUCCUUUCUUAGGUUUUUCAUACUGUUUUUGAACUUGAACAUCGCAUAAAUCUUUCAUGGAAGGCCCCCUUUUCCCUAAUGCUUCUAACAGGAUAGUUAGUUAUAGUAAUUACCGGCACAUCACAUUUCUUUUCUUGUUGGGCACUAGUUCAGUCUUGGAGAUACCUUUUUGGUAUUCUUACUAAAAACUGGAAUUAUUGGAUUCCCUAGGGAUGCGCUACAUAUCGUACCUAUAUUAUACUAAUACAGAGUUUUCUUCCCUAAGACAAGAGCUCGAGAGACUAAAACUCACUCCUAUAAGAAAGAAAGUCAGCAGCGGGAGACUCGUCCAAGUAGCUACUAGAUGAAACCGGGGCAUGGGCGGGUCAACUCUCUAACUACAGGAUGCAAGGAAGGAAUGCUACAAGUAGUACAAUAAUGACUAGUCAAGUAGGAAAGCCAGUAUUUGAAGCCCAUGAACCUGGCAUCAGACUCAUAGCAGUAUAUCAGUAAGAAGAAGGUUAAGGAAAACAAGAAUGGCUACCUAUGCAAGUGAUGAAGAAUUGCACUCAUAUUAGCCUAAGCCUUACUAUCUACCACACAUGGCGAGCCUAACUCACCAGUAGCCCAAGAAGCCCUACUAGAGAUAGGAUACAUCGAAUAGUUAACUAAUGAUGAAAUACAAAAGACAGAAUUGUCCUAAGGGGCAAAAAAGAACUCACUCUCUAUGGGAGCACCCACUAUACCUUUCAUUCAGAUUUGUCUUACCCAACAACUCUACCUUGAACUAGAGCACCAACCUCCACAUUUCUAGGCUAGGCGUAACACCUAGGUUAUACUACGAUAAUUCCAUUCAAAAGCAUAGGUUAUGCCGCCAGAACUCAAUUCAAUAGUAAGAGAACGAAACCACUAUACUCAAAGGGCUUAUACCACUAACUGGCAAUUCCACUACUCACUGGGAAAUCCACUGCUGUUACCCAGCUCUAAAGUCAGAAAUACAUUCUAUAGUUGUAACGCACCUAAACACACUCACUCUUAACUGGGGGUCUGCCACUCCUUCCUGAAAGUAUUGUUUGUUAGUGAAAGUAUCUCUCGUUAGUGUAUCUCACUAAGACAUUGCCUAUUGGCGACUCAACAGUCAUAGCCCAGCCCCGGAGCCCAAGCCCUAUUAUAUACCUAAAAUGCCGAGCCUUACUUCAUAGCGGCCAAGCCCACACAGAGAGUUCUUUAACUACUCACUUUGGAUUCUGACUUCACUUGUUUUGAAACUCGCACUCGUUGCUUUCAUUCGCCGUAUCAUGCCUCGCAUCCCCACUAGAAAUUCCCUCACUAUGAAACCUUCCCCCUUCCUUAUACUUUGUUUAAAAACGGCUACUGACUUCUGGAAUUAUGGAUUGACCCUAUAAGCAUUAGACUAAAUGCUUGCCAGCACGGAUAACCUCACUCUUGGACUAGACUCUUGUCUUAAAGGCUUAGGUCGACGCUAAGGGUACCCCGGCAUUGGAUACGAGCUAUAAGGCUAAGAUGUUAACAUACACAUUAAUACUCACAAUAGUGGUGAUAAUAAUCAAACAUUAGGAGUGAUAAUAAUCCAAAUCAGAAUAAAGAAUACAAGACCUAAGCUAGAAAACCGGCCUAUAUCCAUGGAAUCUAAGUCUCCUUAUCUUUGUUUUCAUUCUCUCUUUGAUCCUGGAAAUACCUUAUUAUUCUUUUGACUUAUAUUAUUUAUUGAUAUUUAAUAUACAGUUACUUAUCUAUCUACUCUCUUAUAUUAUAUUCAUAGUAAUAGUCAUAGCCCUACCUACUAUUUAUUUGUAUCAAUAGAAGAACCACCCUACCUACUAUAUAUUAUUGCUUGUAUUAAUCGAAAUCGAAAAACGAACCCACUCUCUUUCAACAGUGCCAAUGCCAAUUCGAUUCUUAAGAUAGUUUACGCAGUGCCAAUUUGAUUCUUGCUUUUGACAGCGCCAAUGCAAUUAUGACUUUUUACAGUGCCAAUACUAUUUUGAGUUGAGGUAGCGGGAUGCCUAGCUUACUUGCGCACAUACCCACGUGCCCACCGACGUACCUCUCCACCACAUACCCAACAUACGCGAGAAACCUGCUGCAGCUAGUCACUCAAAGGAAUCACCUAUUCUUAAGUGUCCUGGAGGGCCAGUCAGUCUUGUUCACCCAAAUUUAUGGGAGAGCGCCCCAGGAAUCAGUCUUAGGGAGAAACAACGUACUACGGGGAUCAUUCACCUCACCCAUGCUUAGAAGGUAGUAUCGUCCCCGGUCAACGAAGGUAGUACAUCGUAAAUUCAUUGAAUGGCCGGGCAACUGAUCGAAGACAAGAAAGACGUGUGAUCAACUGGUCGAGGGUUCGGUCAACAAUAAAGAAAAGGAGUUAGUUCACUCAUUCUUAACGUAGGGUAACUCUGUCUUCGGACGAAACACAUCUAUUGUCAUCGCUCUCAUUCAUAGAAGGUGUCUACCACCGCAACCACGGAAGAAACAAACACACAUGCCCUAGCGCUACCAUGCGACCGUAAAGCAUAACCACAAGAAUGAGUCCAUGGUCGGGCUGAUAGGUGCUCCUAAAGGACUAUGUGUUGUUUCACUCGAAGAAUGAGUUCGUGGUCGUGAUGCGCGAAAAGAAACUAAAGGCCAACUGAAAGAAUCAAAGAAUAAUUGACAUAUCUAUUUCAGGCUGAGCUAUAUUACUUUCGGACUAAGUGAACCUCUCUGCCGGCCCGAAAACCUUAAUAGAUUCCUUUUCUUACAGCAACCAAUCAUAGGUUAGGUCCCGCUACGCUAAUCUAAAGCAAGGCAUCCAUCUUGUAACACUGGACGAAACCAUUGCCAAGAUUUCUCUCUUAUUUACAAGCCCUACCUUACUAACCGCUGACACUCGUUAUGUUAGCCGCAUAAGUAAGUAGAGCGUAUGCUAGGAAAGAAGAGAAUUAGGCAAAGGAAGUAUUGCUGCUGCUUCCCGAUUGAUACCAGUUUGCGUCUUCCUCAUAUAUAAUAUAUAGAUGUCAACUUUCGAGUCACUUUCCCUUCUUGACCUAAACAAAAGCGCUUGUCUUACUUAUCUAACUUAUGAGUGAGCAGAGUAGUGUGUGAGCAGCGCGAAAGGUUGCUUGCUCCCAACAAGUUGCAUAGCUCCACCCUAUAUAGAUGUGAUCGUUUGAGUCUUUAUCGAUGAAGCCUUUCGAAGCACUUUCUAAACGCUAGCUAUAUGCUUUUGCCGAGGUUAUGAAAGAAUGGGGAUCUCUCCAAAUCCUGUUCAAUUAGACUCAAACAUUGGGGUAAGAAGAGAUGAGAGAAACUAUUGCGUGUCAGCUUUGGGAUUACUCUCUUCCCGCCAGCCAGGGCUAUUUGAAUAUCGCCCCGAAAAUCCUUGUGAGUGGGUUGGUUCUCUUCGCUCUUCGACUACAAGGAAAGAUGGAUAAAGGAAUACUUUCGAUGACCUUCUUUCUGCCCUUUCUUUGUCUUUGCCCAUCGCGUCAUUAACACACCUUUUUAUUGCUGUCUUCUCUGGAGACCGCUACGUGGUAAAAGUUUUCCCUAAUAGCUUCCUAUGUAUAAGGAAGGGGCUGGUGGCUAAGCUUGCCCCAACUCUCAACGGGCAAUUUACAAACCGGUGAGAAACAUGGUCUGUAAGACACUUGGCUAGGAUUAGCCCAGACCUGCCGAUGCUCCUACGCAAGUCUGGUUGUGUCUCGGGUAGUUCGAGUAGUAGUUGUAGUUGUAAGGAGCCAGUAUAUCAAAUAUAUUCUCUUUAAUCCGGAGAAAAAAUACCCUUUGAUUGAAAGGCGGAAAAGAUCCUUGUUUGUUGCUAGCUUGUCUAGCUCUGCUGCUCGUGCUAGAUCCAUAACACUCACACCCGGCUACUCGCUCUGUUGCGGAUUUCGCUUCCGUGUCUUUUCGACUUAUUCUUUAGUUGAAGCUACUGAUGCCCUCACUUAACCCACCUUCACGCCCUUCCUUAUCUUUAGAAUGUAGUAUCUUCUAUUUAGAAUGUAGUUUCAUAAGCAUGCAUUGUUUCUUGCUUUGCUAUGAGUAAUAAGCAUUGUUUCUUGCUUUGUUUGCUAUGAGAGUGAAAGCUGCUCAGAAAGGUCUGUUUAGUGUGAGAGGCUAUUCCUUUUAGGUUCCUUCAUUGGCCUUGGUGCGGGUCACCCCAUUCUAAGGCGGAUCUCUGCUUCGACGCUCCUUCCUAUCAAACGGAAAAACGGACAUCUAAAUCUUAUUUACUGACAAAUCAAUCUGACUUGCCCCGGGCUAGCUCUUAGAUUCCUUCCUUUCGUUCUGUAGUUCUAGUUAUUUGAUAUGAGAAUGGAAUAUCAGCCCCACUAGACCGUAUAGAUAUCAGGCUUUGCAACCUAACUGUUAUUCCUUAGCUACUGAUACGGAUCUUUAUACUUGCUCUCCUUAGCUUCACUAUCUUGCUCUACUGCCUCCCAUGCUUACUACCUUUUCUCUAUCUUACUAUCCUGCCUAGAGCAUUCCUAUACUUAUUACUGAAGUGCCUGUUCUCUAAUUGAGUUUACUAGCAUAGUAGUUCAAACUGAAACCCCUUCCCAGCAAACUUCCUCCCCUAACUCCUAUUCUAGCUACCUUGUCUCUCGUUAUGUAACUACAGAUCCAGAUCCUUGCUGCCAGCUUUAACUGCAACUGACUAGAAUGGAUCUACUUCCCUUUCAUUCUUUUCGAAACACUCUGAUUCUAAUUUCUUGGAGUUUCUUUUCAUUAUCAUAGUGGUUAGGGGCGCCGUGCUCUUUUUUCUAGUAUCCCGGUAGUCUGUGUAAAGCCAAGUCCUGUAUUCGCCCUUCUUACCUUCUUACCACCGGCUCAUCCCCUUCCUUGCGUUUAAGGUCAGCUUCUAUAUCUCCUAAGUCACCUUCCGUUCUAGAAUAAGUAUCGGCAAAAGCGAAAUAAGCGCAUCGAAAGGAGUUCAAACUAAAAGAGCAAGGGAAAAUAGGAGGCGACCACUCUCUCUUGAUUCUUAAAGCAUGGGGAUUCAUUCAAGAACGGUUUGGAUUCUGGGGUUGUGCCCUGAAGUGAAGAGACUCAGCGAGCCGACCAAGUUAGAGGCUACAGAUAAAGUUGGUGAGCCGGGUGAUGGGAAACCUUCCUGCACGGAGAGCACUGAAGACGAAUGAGAGCUGAGAACGAAAUUAGUGCUUUAAGUCUAAAGCCAUGGACUACGCUCUCGUGUGAAGAAAGACAUGUACCAAUUCGUAGCUCAUCAUCAAUCUCAAUGACCAGAACAGAACUAGAUGAUGCGGUCUUUCCUCUAAGACGUUAACAGUAAUAUGCAGAGCGUUGUCAACAUGUUCUAUUUCACUCACUCCAUCCAUGAUGGCUUUUCCCCUUUUCCAUACUAUAAGCUUCCCGUCUGCUAAGAAAACCAGAAUACGAGUUUGGUAGUGUUGAGACCGAAGAAUCCAUUACAGAGUGACCUUGCUUGUCCAGAGGAAGAAACACUCGCAUCUAUAUCACCGAAUUAAUAUUAUUGUUCUUUCUUUGAUAAGAAUCGAUCCUACGUUUGUCUUGGCUGGAAGAGAUUUUGGAGGUGGUGGCAGGCCCCAAGGUUGAAGAUCAGAUCUACUUUCCUUCUGAGGAUCUACUAGUGGUUCCCGAGAAAAGGAAAAUGACACUGAUUUCGGGUUUUUCUAUUGGAUUGAUUUUUCUAAGAAUAAAAGGUGUGUGUGUCAGGCAGAAAAGAGAAAGUCACCUCUAAGGCUUUCCAGACCAGGCAGAAAAGAGAAAGUCACCUCUAAGGCUUUCCAGACCCUGUAUAAAUAGAUUAGCUAUCCAAGUCCACAUACGCAGGCAGUAGAAAUAAGUAGAUUAGCUAUCCAAGUCCACAUACCCAAUAUUGAACAUGCAUUUCCGAAACUUCCAACAAUCAAUCCACUCUAAUUCAAGCAUCAUGUGACCAUGGGAUAAGUUCCUUUCGAAGGAAGACAGACCUUUGACUGGCGAUUGAAUGAGUUGGUUUGCUAACGGGGGAGAAUUCUAGUUGCGCAAGGCUGGACUACUUUCGACAACAUUUUCAAUCAGAAAGAAGGAUUUCCAUAAAGGCCAAGGAUACAAUUUAGUAGACCUCGGAUGUAAGCACCUUAUGUUAUGGGUGGGGUUUAGGAGGAGCACCUUAUGUUAUGGGUGGGGUUUUGGAGGAAAGAAGGAGAAUCUGAAGUUGUUGUCUUCCCUACACAGGGAGCAGAGAGCCCAUUCGUUGACCUUCGGAUAAGACAUAUAUAGGCGGACUUCCCUUAGUAUAUAUCAAGGAAGAAAAGAAGGAGUUAGUUCAGUACCAAAAGCCGGAGGUGUUACCAACACAGGGAAGGGAGUGGAUAGCCUAUUCGGAGGCCGGCAGGGAAGAGAUAGCCUACUUCCGCUAUUCCAGCAAAGAAAAGAAAAUAGUAAUGCCACUAUUAAUAGAAUGGAAAAAGAAUAUAAAAAACACUAUUAAUAGAAAUAAGGAACUAUACACUGCUGACUUAUAAUAUCUAUUGCUUGUUUACUUGACUGAUGACUUAUAAUAUCCAUUGCUUGUUUACUUGUUGAAACCUCACAGCUAGUUCUUUCGCACCCCGCUACAACAAAACAAUACAAUGUUAGCGCAAGGCAGGCAAGGGUGGGUGUUAGUGAGCUUUAGAAGAGUCAGCUGUUAGGUUCAUUUCUUAUAGAUUGAUUCAGUUAAUAGUAGUUUGAAAUGAUCUUCUUUCUAGUGUUGUUACGGGACUCCUAACGCACAAGAGUUAGCGGCUAAAUCAACUCGCUUGUUACAUUGAGUGCAAAAGAAUAGAACUGAGCGUGAUACAUAUAGAGAUAGGUGUGAUUCAAAAUACCGAAACUCUCACUUAAGCUUACAACGGCUUGAGGAUUGUUCCCUGCAACAACUAAUUGAUGAAAGGUAGGUAAAAAAGAAGAAAAGCGCACAGAAGCACGUUGUAACGACAAGAAAUCUUGACCAGCCCUUUGCCAGAGCUCAGUAAGCACUUAGGUUGUUUUCACCAGUGGUUUAUUGGAGGUUUCAGAAUCAAGUAAAGGGUAGCUGAACAGAAGAAUCUGAUAGGUAGCCGAGACGAAGAAAGGACUUGACAAGCUUGAACAAUAGGCGGCAAGUUUCUUUACCUAUGAAUCGGCUAAAAGAGUGACUGUUUGAGUGCUCGUUAAGUCUAGGAAAGUAGCUAGGGAAAGAAAGGAACCAAUGCAGUUUGUUUGUAAGGCAAGGGAAGCAGUUAGAGCAGAGCCUGUAGCAAGUGGGUCUCAUAAUAAAGGUAGUCUAGGACCAGAAGUAGACUCAUCGACGGACUGGGUAUCCGGUAUAAAGAGAAGAAAUAGAAUCCCCAGUGCCAGAAAUGAAUAGUAAAGCGGUAAAGCCUUUGACUCCUGGUUGCUCAAGCAGCCCUACUAUAAUGGCUCCUAUCAAGUGGAAAAUCCAGUAUGGGGCUUAGGGUCAAGAUGCCGGCUAGAUGAUUUGAUUGAAGCUAGUGUACAAGUUCCAGCAGAAGAUAGAUAAAGAUCAGAAUCCUUAGAAAGUGAGUAAGCGAAAAGUGGUGUUGUGUCAAUUCGUUUUUCUGCGCUAAGAGGAAGUUGAAGCCUAAACCUUAAAAGAUUGUAGAGCAGGACAGGAUCCGUAUCAGGAAAUUCUGUUUCUGUGUUUUGCCGUAGAGCGAGGUGAAAGUGCUGCAGUAACUCAAUAAGCUUUAUCACGAUAUGAGGCAGGCAGUGAUCAAGUCUGCUGCAAGUUCAAGUGGUUCUUCAAGUAUAGUGAGUUCAGGUGUUUGACGAGAGGUCGAGUGCUGUGUUGGGGUUCCAUAAUUCAGGGAAGCAGUAUGUGUCUUUAGCUUACAUUUUCUUCUAUAUCAUAUGCUCGAAAAGAGAGAUAUUCCAUUCUUCAUUGAAAAGAGAGUUUCCCGGCUAAAGAAAAGAAAAGUCAGGGUAUUAAGUAAGGGUGAAGGUCAGAGACAAGCAGACAGACUAGCAACUAAGUAAGCGCAACGAGUUGCUUGUUCCCCGAACUAUAAGCAAGAAAGCAAUACUGAUAGGAAUGAAUCAAUUAUGGAUAUUUCCAGUAAACAAGCAAGCGGUGGAAUUCCAGAAGAAAGAAGCAAAUCCACUAGUAUACAAGCGGGUGCACCGCGGUAGCGAGCGAAAAAGGUUUGGUUACUUCAUCUAGAAUAGGUUUACUAAUUCCAUUCAAGGCGCAUAAGCUUAUUGGAGUUGCCGUAGCUUGUUUGCACGUUUGCGAGUUAUUAAGCGCGUUAGAGAGUUUCGAGUCACUUCAUCAUCGGGAGUUACGUAACGGGUAGAGUAUGUUAGUCUUAGGGUUGACUGAGCACUACCCCUACAGCUCGAAGUAAAGUGAAAGUGAAGUAUAGAAGAAAGGAUGUGCCACCCAUAUUAGAUUCUUGAAGCUGCAUAGGGAACAAGCAAAGCAACAGGCGAAAAGGGAAAGCUAAUAACUCUACGAAACGACAACAAAUGGAAUGCAAAUAACUCCACGAAAUGACAACAAGGGUAAAGUCCAGCCAAGUAAAAGGUAAGGUCAGGGAACAAGCAAUGUAUAAUGUAUAGCUUACGUGAGCAGAACGAACAAGUAACGACGAUAAGAAUAAUGUACUCUGGAAUAAUUGAGUACUCAUAUGUAUUUGGUAAGGCCCACACUAUGUAUCGUAUAAAGUGGAGUCGCCUGUUGCAAGACAAGAGUGAGUACAGGCAAAACAGUAGUUGCAAGACAAGAGAAGUAUAAAGUGGAGUCGCCUCUAAGGCAGAAAGAAGCUUAUUAGUCUAUGGAAGAAAGAAGCUUAUUAGUCCAGUAUAAGUAAUGUUAUAUGGCAAAGAGCUGUAAGGCAGAAAGAAAAAGCUUAUUAAUCUAUGGAAGAAAGAAGCUUAUUAGUCUAUAUUCUGAGUAAUGUUAUAUGGCAAAGAGCUGUAAGGCUGUGUUCUUAUAAAGUAAAGAAGCAUAAGCAAGGAACAACAAACUUGGAAAGUCAAAGAGCUCACGGUAGCUUGAGAUAACUCCGCCUAGUGGCUUGGCGGCUUGUCCGGCUUGCACUUAUAUUAAAGCUGCUUGGCCCCGGUUUCCAAAGAAAUUGUUUGACAACCACAUAAGAGAAAUAAGGAAAGGAAGAGACAAGGCAAACGCUUAAAACACUUGGAGAGAGCGCUACUAACCCGAGCUCAUCAGUAGGAGAAUAUUCCGUUAGAGAACCAAAGCAGCAUAAAGAUCAGACUAAGUGGAAAGAUCUUACGCAGGA
rnacentral:lncRNA from 1 species